UAUAAGGUAUGGAGUAGUUCUGAUUUGGUGCAGAUUAAUUCUUCACAUGCAGGAAUGUGGAGAGACGGUGGGCUCUAAGGCCAUGUCAAUGUUGUUGCGCUUGCAGCUUGAGAUGUGCUUGAUCCUUCUUCACUGCUAUUUUUCCUAAGCAACUUUGCAUGGAAUUAGGAUCACUUGAUAAGAUUCUGAUAUGUUUUUCAAAUUUCCUUCCUUUAUGCAUGAAUCUAUCAUCAAGAUCAUUUAUAUGGUACCUGUAUGCUGCUGUAGAUUUGUUGGUGUUGAUUUGUUGUAAGAGGAAAUGUGAUAUUGUUCUCAUCAUUUUCUUUCAUAGCAUGUGCAAUGCGUUACAACAUCAGUUUCAUUGGUUUCGAAAAUGUGAUAAACAUGUGACUAUUCUUGCUUGUCGUAUUUGUUUAUGUGUUUUGCACAGCUCCUUCUGCUUUUUUGCAGCAAGGCUUACGUGGAUCAUAUCUUUCCUAUCACACUGAUUUCAUCGUGAAAAAUGUAGGAAUCUGGAGGAGACUCAGGGUCUUGGAUAGCAAACAAUACUGCCCAAAAAUAGGUAUUCUACAUAAUGUGGAGGGGUAGACAUGUUGUCUUCUUGAUUUUUUUUUCAUUUUCUUGCUGUCGAAGUACUUGUACUUGUGAUUUCAUGAUGUUAUGUGAAACAUUAAAGGAUGCCUUGGAACGACGAAGUUCCCAAUCUUCAUGGUAGAUGAUAGGACACUGCUUGCUGAAGUUGCUCAUUGCCUCGCAUAAAAGGAUGGAAUCUCCUUAUUUUUUGCUAUGUUUUGCACAUGUUGAAUAUGAUGCCAUUGCUCUGAACAUUAUAUUUGUGUUGAUAAAAAAGGACAUGAUUUGGUAUGCCCUCCCUGUAGAGGUUCUAGCUUGGUCAGUUGACUUGGUGUUGUUGAGAUGACCCAAGCCACCAGCAAUUUGAGCUUGCCCCCAUGAUGUGUGUGAUUAUAUUUAGGUCGACAAAAUCCUCCUGUGAUAAGCCCAAAAAGAAAAUUUGGCAUGAAGCGGGAGGUAGACCGUUGGUAACGCACAAAAAUAAAAUCUGGCAUGAUGCGAGAGGUAGAGCGUUGGUGGCGCCCAAAAAGAGGAUUUGGCGUGACGCAGGAGGUAGAGCAUUGCGUGCGGCAGGAAAGAUACAAACUUGUUCAAAAAUUCAAACCGUCUGGAUGGCAAUUGCAAGAUGACGAUCGGAUGGUGUGGACACAUUUUAGACCAAUUGUUGUUAAAACAUAACAUGUUAUUGUGACAACUAUUAUGAACAAAAGUUUGAUUUAAAUAAUCAAAAUAUUGAAGAAAUUUCUAAACUUAUGUGCGUUGCACGUGCACGCUUACUAGUNNNNNNNNNNNNNNNNNNNNNNNNNNNNNNNNNNNNNNNNNNNNNNNNNNNNNNNNNNNNNNNNNNNNNNNNNNNNNNNNNNNNNNNNNNNNNNNNNNNNNNNNNNNNNNNNNNNNNNNNNNNNNNNNNNNNNNNNNNNNNNNNNNNNNNNNNNNNNNNNNNNNNNNNNNNNNNNNNNNNNNNNNNNNNNNNNNNNNNNNNNNNNNNNNNNNNNNNNNNNNNNNNNNNNNNNNNNNNNNNNNNNNNNNNNNCCGAUAUGAGUUUGAUCUAAAGCACUCCACGAGCCCAUCCCAGCACUCGAGCGAGCUGUCCCGCUCGCCAUGCCCUAUAUCGCCGCCACCGACGUUCUCCCCUCCCCUCAUUUUGCGCCUCCCCCUCCAGGCACCAAGCCACCUCCAGAACCGUGCCUCAAGUCCUCGCCGCUCCUCUUCCUCCUAAAUACAUAUGCCCAGGGUAGGGGAGGAGCGAGGGCAUGCUUAGACCGGCGGCGAGGCGAUAUGCCAGGACGAGCCUCACACGUUGUGGCCUAUUCACACGUGCUGGCCGGAAUGAGUCCACUGUGUCGGCGGAUCAAUAUGGGUCUUGGCGGUGGUGGCAGGCAUCGGCGGAUCGGAGUACGUGGUCUGAAGCUGCGGUUCUUCGGCUAAGACGAGGAGGUGGACAUCUUGGCUCUGCAGUUGACGGAGGGCUUCCUCACUCCUCUUUCCCUGUCUUAUAUUCUUUCCCAUGAAGGUCACAUAAUCCCUCUAAUUUGUACUUCUUGCUUCAUAAUUCAUUUUUUGAACUGGAUGAAAUAAGAUGAUUAUACUUUUGGUUAUUUUGGACAAUGAUGUCUUCUUGCAGAUCUCUGAAAUGGGAAAAGUAAUAUUUCGUCAUCUCCCUUUGGUCUGCAUGGACGUGCACUUAGUUUAAGGUUUCUCGAUCCAACGGAAGGGAAACAACUUGAAUAGUUUAACAAUCUUGCUCCUUAAGAACCGGUCACCAGGUCUGCUUGUACAAGUGCAACUCACUUAGAUCCACUGCUGCUUGUAUCUUUGUUGAAUCCAUAUCCAAUGCUACCAUGUGUUAGGAAGUUUAUGUUGAUAUGAAAUUCUAAUGUACUAAUUGAAUGCAGAUGUGAGAAAAGAGCACACAAUUGAGGAGGCAUAUUUGUCCACAACAUGAACUAGGGACUGGAUGCUUGGAGGGUGGAGUUGAAGCAUGUGUCAUGUUUAGCCAAGCUUUGGAAAAUGGGGGAGGAAGGUGUUGUUUUCUUGCUAAGUAAAUUAGUGUUACACUGACCUUGGUAGUGUUUCCUGGGUAAAUCCUCGGUGGGGGCAUUCGUCGCCGGAAGUGUGAUUUGUUCAUCGUCUACUACCUCCGUCCGGUGUUCGUUGUCGGAGGGCUUCUCGGCGUUCCUCGCUGUUGGGUUUGUCCCACCAAUAUUCUCAUUCAAUCUUCAACCACCGUAUGAUGUUUACUGAUCUUGAUCUUCCCCAGUCGCCAGUUCUGAAGAUUCUUCAGAUCUCACAUUAACUUCAUUCAGUCUUUAAGAAUAACCAAAGGUAUGUUGUACAAUAGCCUUCUUUAAAUAGUUUAAUCUGUGUUCUACAACUAAACAAACCUUCCAAAUGUCUCGAUAUCAUUUUCACUAAUAUGCAUCUCAAAGUUAUGGCUCAAAAAAAGACAACUGACUAGAUUGAGGAUACGUUAUGCAAGAAGGCUAUAUAUUCAAGGUAAUAUUAAACCUACUCGAGAGAGAGAGAGAGAGAGAGAGAGAGAGAGAGAGAGAGAGAGAGAGAGAGAGAGAGAGAGAGAGAUCUAGCUACUUAUAUAAACCUAUAGUCCUAAGAGCAUCUACAGCCGUUCGGCCCCCUCAGGACGCCAAAAAAGAGCGGCCUGGGGGCGAGCCGGCGCUAGAUCGGCCCCUGGGGUUCUUUUCUCCCCAACCACGCGCCCUGGUGCCACCACCCAAGGUGCUCCGUAUUCGAAAUCCAUCAUUCCCGCUCAAAGAAACAACAAACAGGCGAUCAUCGCAAUAGUUUGGCGAUUCGGUGCCACAGUUCGACGACCAAAAUAAAAAGGACACGCAGUAGUUCGGCAUACAAAAAAGGAAGGACGCGAGAGGAGUUCAUCAAACAUCGAGCUCGACCUCCGACGGCGUCGACGUCGGCGUACGCGAGCUGGGAGGAGUCGGCGCGGCUUCCAGGCUGUUCGGCGCGGCGGAGGCAUCAUCAGUGGGGCUGGGCGUCGCGGAGGCAUUGUCAUCAGCCGCCGGGCUGGGCGGCGGCGGCGGCGUCGCCGGUAUCUGGUUUAGGAUGAUGCCGUGCGCGGCCAAGAACCACGCCUUGAGCUUCUCGUCACUGCUCUGGAGCCUGUCAGCGCCACCCAUCAAGAAGGCGAGGUAGUUGUUCCUCUUAUUGGAGUCUUGAGCUUUGAGUUUCGCGGCGGCGUUGGCGCGGAGCAAGUCGAGUUUGAUGGCGCUGUUCGUCAUCAAAACAGACCACCUCGCCUUUGUUUUCACUUCUCGCUCGGCGGCCCUAGUCUUUGCGUCGGCGAUGCAGUGUUCGAUGGACUCUUGCACGCGCGCGGCUGUUGACUCGGCGUAUUUCGCCCUCUUGGCACCUUUGUUGCCGUCCGGGCGCCCGUCGGCCGCGCCCGCUGUCGACGCGUCCGGCUUGUACGUCUCUUUGGCCUUGGCGAGGGUGCGUCGAACGGCCGCCCAUUUCUCGCACUUGUCGAUCCGCUUGAAGACGUGGAGGUACUUGAAGUCUGCGUCGCUGUUGUCAUUGCGGAACAUGGAGAACAUGCGCAGUAGCUGCGCCGAGAAAAGACGCCAGUCGGCGCUCCACAUCCGCCUUCCACUCGGCGUUGGUCAUGCCGGGGGGCUUGGACAGCGGAGCCCUAGGCUUCCUUUGCUUAGGCGGGGCGGCGGCGGCGGGAUCCGUCUCGGCGCGCGGCAUCACGUACUUCUUUGGCGGCAUGGCGGGCGGAAGGGCAGGGUGGAGGCGGGGGUUUGGCGGGAGGAAUGGAGAAGAGAGGGGGGUGGGGGCGGGAGGAAACGGCGGGAAAAGUCUUCCAGUCGCCGACAGAGCGGCCCCAUGCCGCUUUUCGCUUCUGCCGGCGCGCCCAGGCUACACCGGGCCACUUGGGUUCGGGGCGGGAUCGCCGGCUCUGGAUUUCGCCCAAACCGGCGCUAAACGAGAUCCUGGGGCGCGACUGGGCCGAUUUUUGGCCACCGGCGCUAAAAAUUCGCUUGGGGGGCUGUCGGGGGCGCGGCUGGAGAUGCUCUAAGGAAACUACUCACACAUGGUCAUCAGAGAAAGAGAGAGAGUUCAUCAGAGACAUGUAUACUCUAGGUUUUCUAGUUUUCUAGACAAGAGAGGGAGACGUGAGAGUGUUCUUAAAAGAAGUGUGAGAGAACUUGUGUGUCAGGGAGAGCUUUUUAUUUUUAUAGGCCAAAUCGUGCAGCAUGUGUGAGAGGGCGAGAGCGCGUGAAAAAGAGAGAGAGCGUGAGAUAGAGAGCAUGCAUGUGAUAUAAUCGGGUGAGAGAUGUCCAACAAUCCUCCAGUGUUCACAUGGGCACAAAAACUAAGCCAGGUAAUUAGAACGGUCAGUUCUGACAUGCACAAGGCCAGCGCACCAAUCUCUAGGUUUUGAAAUGGCUGGAUAUACAAGUGCAUGUAGCGGGGCUGCAGCGAUCCAUAUAGCAACUACUUUCCCUUUGGAUGCCCUAUUCGUGAUAUAUUUCUUUUAUACAUUGUUUUAUGUACAUUUUUGCAAGCUUGCGUGGGCUAUGCGGGGCACCUUUUCUGUAAUGUAAAUUCAUAUAUGCCACAUUUUUUUGGUAACGACCAGUAACUACAAAGAACUAUUUUAGUAAGUAACAGAUUUUGACACAAAUUCUAUGGUAGUAAUGACAUUCUGAAUCUUUCCCCAAAGCCAUCCACAUACAAUGGAUCCAGAUUUUAUACUAUCUAUAGAGACUGAAUUGUGUUUACAUAAUGGUGAAAACACAAGGAUAUAUAUUACAAAGCUCUUUUUGGCAGCAAGUAAUUAAGGAUUAAUACCUGCUAGCUGUACUUUGCUGGUGACAACUUUACCUGUAGAAAGCAACNNNNNNNNNNNNNNNNNNNNNNNNNNNNNNNNNNNNNNNNNNNNNNNNNNNNNNNNNNNNNNNNNNNNNNNNNNNNNNNNNNNNNNNNNNNNNNNNNNNNNNNNNNNNNNNNNNNNNNNNNNNNNNNNNNNNNNNNNNNNNNNNNNNNNNNNNNNNNNNNNNNNNNNNNNNNNNNNNNNNNNNNNNNNNNNNNNNNNNNNNNNNNNNNNNNNNNNNNNNNNNNNNNNNNNNNNNNNNNNNNNNNNNNNNNNNNNNNNNNNNNNNNNNNNNNNNNNNNNNNNNNNNNNNNUCUUCCUCUACACACUCCAACCUUGCUCUCAUAUCAGUAGGAAAAACAAAUCAUCCCAGGGCUCCCUACCAAGCAUCUCCCCAUUCUACGCUCCGGAAACCAGGUUUGCUUUCAUCUACCUUCCUUGAAUAUAUUCUCCUCAUCCCAUUUCUGCUUCCUCAUUUCAUUAACUUGUUGGUAACUAGGGCAAGAUGGAUCUACGUGUUGAAAAAGCAGAAGAUUCGAGUGAUUCGAGUGAAAGAACUAUCAGCAAUAGUUCUAUGGAGAUCGCAUACUGUGGCGGACAAGCCCAGGAUGACGACCUGGAAGCAGAUUCUGCUAUGGUAUUAACUGUUGUCGGAUGGAAGGAAGCAAGAUCUGACGGGCAUGGUUAUACCGAUGGCCUUCAGAUUGAUUCUGCCUCCCCUGCUGGGAGGGCUGUUGUCAGCUCUGAAUCUUUACCAGUGGCACAACCCAGAGACUACAUAGAUAUACCUCUCCCUCAGUGGCUGAAAGAUAUAGAUUCAGGAGCAGGGUUGUGGACGGCUAUUAUACAAUUUCGAAAAGAUGGGAAGAAGUAUGACAAUGUUAGUACACUCAUGUUCGUCUGCGCUCUUUCCACUAAUAAUUUUGUUUUGUGUUAAUCCCUAGUCAUCUCAUAGCGUAUGUAGUGUUUACGUGACAAGCAUUCAGAGUUUCAGACCAAAUGAUGAAUUAAUUAGGUUCACAAACAUGUGUUUUGCUUGAGUUAUCUUAUAAUUUUUUGAUCUUUGGCAUCCAAAUAAUAGUCUGCAUAUGUUUCCGCACUAGUUUGUAUUUGGUUUUGCACAACGAUGGAUAUAUGUGAAACAAAUCAUAGGGCACACUGAUAUCAUUUUAUUAUAGAAUUCUCUUGUGUAGUGAGUGGUUAAAAUAAUUGACAUCUACUCGACUAAUCAUGGAACCUUUUACAAUCUGAUGCCAUAGUUUCAAAAACAUAAUGUCAACAUAAUACAUUAACUACAUGUAAUUCUUUGGUGUUCAACUAAACAAUUGAAUUUGUCAUAGUAUUUAACCCAGAAUUCAACCACUGUGACUCUGAUCUAUCCACACACUUUUGGAUGGUCACUUGUCCUAGCAUUUAACCAUAACUCAUAUGAACAUGCAACACAGAAAUAUAAUAAAGAAUUUUUUGUAUAGAAUGCUCGGUUGUCUGCUCUCACCACGACAUUUUUCCUUUUUAAUAUUCACAACGGAUUUUUUAUUACAACAGUAACUUUCACCUUCUGUAUGCUCUAUGCAAUUUUACACGUUAAAUCAUGUCUAUGUCAAAUUAACUAUAUCUUUUUUGCUCAUUUCAGUACUACUUUCACAAGGAAUAUAGGCACAAAUUCUGCUCUAAACUCAACGUUUUAGAGUUCCUAGAAGCAGGAACUGUAAAGGGGAGGCCGGUUAAGAAGGUGCCUAACUACUUGACAUCAAAACAUUUAGUAAUUGUACAAACAUGUAUACCAUUAAGUAUUUUUCAUAUAUAUUUUACAAGUCUAAAUUUCAUAUGGUACUCUACUUUUUGACAGAGAUCAGCUGAUACUUCUACGGACAAUCAUGGUAUGUGUAAUUUCACCGAUGCAUUUAAAAUAUUAGUCUAUUAUUAUUGUUCGGAAUACUAAAACUUAGGCUGCAAAUGAAAUCCAUAUCAUGGAAAGAAACAGACUUCUACAUGAACUCAACAUAAAAUAGUUAGUAGUGCAGUUACUCAACUUAAGUUAAUAUAUAAUUAACACUAUUUUAGAUUCUUUCAUGACAUGAUAAAGAAAUUGUUUUUAUAAAUGUUAGAUGGGAACCGCGUCAUGAUUGCAGUUACGUAGUUUUACGAUAAUAUUACUUAUUUAAUUUCAUAAAAUAUCCGUGUAUCAUCCCGUCUAGACGAACAAUCACGCUGGGGACAAGUUCAAGAAAUACUUCUGGUAAACAAAUAGUAAUUCUGUAUAACUCAUGGAGGAUGUAAUUUGUUAGUGGUGUUAAAUACUUUGACACCCUUGAAAUCUUUUGUGCUAGCAUUAUUUUUUAAAUGAUUUCACAUAUAAAUGCAUAUAUCAAGAUAUCUAUCAUAUUAGUGUGAAAACAUCCUCCAGAGUCUUGCACAUAUGCAUUAUUCUUUGAUAUUUUUUGCAUCACAGUUACCUUUUACAAUAGCAAGAUGAAAAGUUUAUCUAUCCACAAUUUCAGCAGAUUAUAGACGGGCCACCAAAAGACAAAGGAUGACGGCACCAAUUUUAAGUAAGCUAUCUUGCAUACCACAUAUGUUUCUCUAAUUUUGAGAGGGUAUCACUUGUAAUGUUGUUCAAUAUUUCAAACUAGCUUCACCGUCAUGUAUGCUAGUAGUUAUUUUGAGAACAAUUUCAUGAAAAAAAUACAAAAAGUCAACAAACACUUAUAGUUCCUGAUGAUUCCUAGUUGCAUGAUCACUAAGAAUUACACACCUUCCCAGUGUAGAAGUUGUUAUCUCGAUAUGUAUCAAUUAUAUGUUAUUAUCUGUGAUUAUUGGGUGAAGAAUAUUUGUUGCUCAUGGUUAGAUUUUAGACUUUUAUAAAUACAACAACAUGGAGAAAAAGCAAAAUACAGAUUAAAAUAGAUCAUCAAUUUAAUAUUAAAUAUUUCUAAUUAGUUUGAAUGGAUGUGUUCUGCAAUUAUAAUACUUCUAUGUUCAUAAUACUUUAUCCAUAAAACGCACAGGUUCUAGUAUGUCGACAGGAGGAAGAACAGCCCCAUCUUCUACAAAACUUCCACAUGGUUUUGUGUAAUUUCAUGUAGAUCGCAUUGAGACAUUUGAGAUUAUUUAUAGUGCCAAAACUAUGUUGGGUACAAUGUGAUUUGAAAAAUAGUAUGUACUUUCGUAGUAUAUGUGAUACUUGGUGGUGGUUGUUGAUGAAUUUAUUUCAUUAGACUUGAAUAUUUAGCAUAAUUAUUUGAUUAAUGAGUACUUAUUUGAUAGAUGAGUACAUUCCUUUAAUCCUAAAAACAUUAUCAGUAAGACAUCCAUUGAAGGAAGCUGUGUGAAUUGUCCCUCGUGAUUGCAGAUACUCAACUUCAGAUUUGCCAGUCCCUAGCCAAACCUAUUUUAGCCACUAUGAGUAGUAACAGACACAUUCUUAAUGCAUGGGGAGGCUAGUGCACCAACUUCAGUCACACAAUGUGGGAAACCCAUUCCUUAUCUCGCUUAGAAGAUGCAAGAACGCCAUCACACUAAUAGUAGUUAGUUACUUGUAUCAAUGAUAUAUGUCCGUCCAUAGAUAAAGAACCUAUGAUCAUAAUGUUGGAUUUAUAAUACUCUAAGAGCAUGUACAAGAAAAUCUAGUAAAAUUGAGCCCCCAAAUGUCCGCAGACGCGUCUAGUCACAUCUACAGACAGCACUCGGUCAGCCCGUAUUUUUAAUUCAUUGCAACACAACACCAUUUCUAAAUACCCGUUUUCAUACAAUGGCAUGCACCAUCCACUUGAUCUACGUACAUAUAAACAAGGCUGAGAACUAGAAAACUAAAGUACAUGUCAUCGGAUAUGUCAAUGACCUCUUUGCCAAAGCCGCUGGCCCCAUGGUCAUUGACGGCAGGGUGAAGCGCCGGCGCCUCCUCGUCGUCUGCGAAGUGCUGCUUGCGCUUCAGUCAGCCUUAUGGAUGAAGCUGCGAUUCACUGCCACCUUCUCCUCGGACUGGAUGGACUUGAGGAUGGCCUACUACUCCGCCGCCUCCUCCUCUUGGGCAAGCAACUCAUCCAAUGUGUCCUCUAUGCCGAAUCCGGCCUGCUCCGGCGCCGGUUCCUCCUCCUCCUCAUCUCACGGCUGCUCCUCCUCCUCCUCAUUCUCCACCUAUUCAAUCUUGUCUGGAGCGUCCAUAUCCUCCUUCAGUACCUCCACCUCGUCUUGCUUCAGCAGGUGCUCAUCCAAACUUUCAUGCCCCAGAGGAAGGCUUACUAGGCACAAAGCACGCGGUGCAGCGCUACUCCGUGGCAUGCAUCUCCGCCUGGAUCUCCACCCGGCACUACGGGUUCAACAUAUUGUAAUAUGUCACACUCAUGUGGACCAUGGCUGCAGCAGGACGACGAUGGUGGAGCGGUGCCAUAGAUGGAUUUUGCCAUGGGCCCCGCACUUCCGUCUGAUGUGGUGGACGCAUGCUGGCGCGUCCGGAUGUCCCAUUUGGAUUGGGUAUGGGAAGUGAUGCUCAGCCAGACGUUUGCGUUGGAUGUACGCGAACAGGUUUGGUGCCACUUUGAUGUAUGUGUAGUUACCAUGCAGGCAGCCCAGACGUUUGGGGAAUACAUGAGGGCCACGAUUGUAGAUUCUCUAAUAGCACGGCUGCAUACAUGCUCGCAGAAAUUAAACAACAUGAAUCAAGUCAAUUCUAUAAGCACGUAUAGCUUGUCACUAGUCAAACACCAUGACUAUAAGAGCAUCAAAUAUGAAUCCAUUUAAUACAAGAUAGUUGCAUACGAGUAUUAAAGGACAGAGACUUUCAUAGUUCUUCAUACGCCACCACUUCAUAUCCAUUGAUUAUAUGUUAAUCAUAAAGAUCGACGACCGAGAUUAAAAUAUAGGUCUGUCACCCCCAAUUGGGCAUGUCUUCUAUUAAAUUGGCCUCUAGGUCGCAUGAUCCUACAGAAUCAGGCGCCCAAUCCUACAGAAUCAGUAUCGAUACGCUGCCGGGGUCGACCCAUCUUCUCCAUUGUUGCCUUGCUGAUCCCCUUCUUCCUCUCUACCAGGAGUCACAAAAAGUUCUAAAAAAAACAGGAGCCGCAGCAGACCCAAUCUUCUUCCAUCCCAUGCUAACGGACAAAAUUCUAUCGAGCCUAUCUCCUGAAAGUAAACGAACAAUGUUUCCAUCUAGACUCCCACCGUGUGAUUACUUUUUUUAGAAAAGGAGGAAGACCCCCGGCCUCUGCAUCUGGGUGAUGCAUACAACCAUUUUAUUAAUUAUUAAUACAAGACCUUACAAAGUCAUACAACAAUAAAACUAAAGCCACCGUCUAAGCAACAUCUGUAGCUACUCACUAGUAGAAAAGGGGGCAUUUGUCCCGGUUCGUAAGGGUCUUUAGUCCCGGUUCAUGAACCGAGACUAAUGGGUCAUUACUAAUACCUCCCCCCUUUAGUCCCGGUUCUAACACGAACCGGGACAGAUGGUCCUCCACGUGGCCGGUUCGCCGAGCCCAGGCAGGGGCACCUUUGGUCCCGGUUAGUGGCACUAACCAGGACCAAAAGGCAUCUACGCGUCAGCAUUUCAGUGNNNNNNNNNNNNNNNNNNNNNNNNNNNNNNNNNNNNNNNNNNNNNNNNNNNNNNNNNNNNNNNNNNNNNNNNNNNNNNNNNNNNNNNNNNNNNNNNNNNNNNNNNNNNNNNNNNNNNNNNNNNNNNNNNNNNNNNNNNNNNNNNNNNNNNNNNNNNNNNNNNNNNNNNNNNNNNNNNNNNNNNNNNNNNNNNNNNNNNNNNNNNNNNNNNNNNNNNNNNNNNNNNNNNNNNNNNNNNNNNNNNNNNNNNNNNNNNNNNNNNNNNNNNNNNNNNNNNNNNNNNNNNNNNNNNNNNNNNNNNNNNNNNNNNNNNNUAAUUUAGAUGUUUCAUAUAUUAUGUUAGCUAGCUAAUUAAUAGGGAGAAGUGUCCUCUCUUAUGUCCAUGCUUGGUCGACGCUACGUACUAUACAUAGAGAGGCUCUCGACACGCUAGCUAGUAAGAAAAUGAAGGGAACCAUUAGGUACAGAAGUUCGUCAUGCAUACCGAGAGAAGUGAUCGAUCGACCUCUCCUUCUCCGAGAGAUUGGUCGAACAACAAGUUUUCGUAUUAUCUAUCCGACGCUACUGGCUACAUACAUAUACAAAAUGUAAGAUCUCUUAAUUACAAUCCCCUAGCAAUUGAAAUCAACUUUCACAUGGUAUUCUCCGGCUUCAUUGAUGACGUGGUCAGGAAAGAAUCCCGCCAAUUCCCCUUGAAUUGCUUUCAUGCGAUCUUGUUCUAGGAGUUCAUUCCGCAUCUGCCACAUCUAAUUUGAAGAAGGGGGUUAAUUAAUACAUAUAUAUGAAUGAAACUCAACAGAAAUGAAGGUGUAAUAAAAAGAAAUUGUGAAUAUUAUUGCUUACGCACUUCAUAUUGUCUUUUAGAGUAGCCCCGCUUAUUUUUCAAAGUCGCGUUGUAGAUGAACUCGCACACGUACUAUCCGCAUAAAUCAUUCCCUUGUUCCUGUCACAAGCACUUUACAAGAAAUAGAGGUCAAUCAAACUGAUAGUGAAGCAUUAUAAUUGGCAUUGAUGAAAGUAUAGCUAUAGAAUCAACGGGAGAUGCGCGCAACUAGCUAGCCAGUAGUACUUACUUUUGGGUAUGUAUAUCGCAGCUCCUUCGGCACUCCCGGAGUUUCUGCGGUGAACUGUUUCCAAACCCUGCAAGACAAAGAAAAUAAUUAUAAUUACUUGAGAUAUCAGGAAAUGAACAAAAAGUUGCCUAUACGGUGCGAUAAUGAUCGAUUGAACUUACUUGUUGAGCAAUUCACUCAUGUCCGCAUAGGUUUCGGGUUCUUUUCGUCUCGAGUCUAAGACGGUUACUAGUCCCAGCUCAAGCUUAAUCUCCUGAAGAACAUAGUGGAAGUUGGGCACGCAUGCAUAACUCAUCAAUUACAUUACUAUAACCUCGCUCGAGUAAUAAGGGAAACCGAAUAUGCACACGACAGUAACACUCACUUGAAUUUGUAAGGGAAGAGUACGGUAUCUUUGUUUUGAUUUUUGAUCAACGAUUGUAGCAAGUUGGCCUCGGCCUUUUCGGCGUGCUUUUUAACCUGAAUAUAAUCUAUGAUAUUUGUGUUAAUGAACCCAAUAUCAUACAUUUCCUGUUUUCUGCACUCGACGAUCUUCAAUCUGCAUAAUAUAUUGAGGAUAAUUAAUUAUAAAUACAUGCAAUGAAAGAGCCGAGCUAUAUAUAGAGACUUAAUAACAUAAAUAGUACUUACAGACAGUAGCAAAAGACUGUUAAUUUAUCGAGGGCCUUUUGAUUGAAGAACGCGAAGAACUCCUCAAAUGGAAUAGCCAACAGAUCAGUUCCAGCGAGGUCGUGCUCCUGUUUAAUGUUCAGACACAAACUAUUCGUCCCCCUAGACUCUCUGCAGGUUUUCAUGUACCAAUUAUGGAAUCUUCGCAUCAUCGUAGUUAGAGAUUUUUCAUCUUUGACGAGAGGCUUUCCCGUACUCGUAUCUGUGUUCGUCCACCUCCAUGAAAUCAGGAAGUUGAUCGUCAGGCAGGUAAUCUGAUAGAUUGCCAUAACCGGCCACCAUCCCCGGAGCAUUAGCAACGAUGUCGCCGCUAGAGACAUUGAGCGGGGGGCACGAUUGAUUCGCUUGUUCGCUGAGCUGGGCAACUUUUUUCGCAGCUGCUCGUUCUCUUGACCUUUGAUGUCUGACAGUACUUCUUGACCGCUCCGCUUGGAGAUAUGUCUGUUCAGUAAUGCGCUCAUAGUUGGUUCUCGGCGGAGACUUUGCUGGUUUCCUCAGGGCAUCAAGAGUGCGCUUUGCUUUCACCGGAUCUACCUUCUCCUCCGGAGGUGGAUGUCUCUUGGCUUUCAACCCUUCAAAUAAGUGCUUCACUUCAGUCCGCACGAUCUUCGUGUUUUCCUCCUCGGUCCUCUCGUACGGUAACUUAUCUAGAGGCUUGAGAGGAGGACCAUAUCUGUAUUGCCUCCCGCCUCUGGCUGUACUGCUAGAUGCCGGAGCAGACGGAGCGGCUGCGGCGUCUGUCUUCUUUCGUGCUUGCUUACGAGGCGGAGGAGAAGUACUACGACGCGCCGGAGCAACCGGGGCGGCGGUGGGUCUCUUCCGCCCUUGCUGGCGAGGCGGAGAAGGAGGAGGCUGCUGGCUGCUCGGGCGCGCCGGCGUAGGCGGAGAAGGAGGCGGAGUGCCGCCACAUGCCGGAGAAGGAGGCCUAGCGCCCUGAUCGUCACUCGCCGGAGGAGGAGGUGGUGGAGGAGGCGGAGUGCCCUGACUCGCCGGAGAAGGAGGAGGAGGCGGAGGCGUCCAGUUCGGAAGGUUGAUGAGCUCCUUCCGCCAUAGGUAUGGAGUCUUCAGAGUAGAACCCAUCCUAGUUUCCCCUUCACCGGUAGGGUGGUCAAGCUGGAGGUCCUCAAAUCCCUCCGUUAUUUCAUCCACCAUCACCCUAGCAUAUCCUUCUGGAAUCGGCCGGCUGUGAAAAGUUGCGCCGGGUUCAGUAGGAUAAACGGAGUCAACAGUCGCCUUGACCUUCAUAUUCAUCCAUCGCGUCAUAAUGUGGCAAUUUGGAGACUCCGUGAUAGCAUCCACAUGAUAGCUGGCAGGAGCCGUCAAGACAUGCUCCAGCUGAAGCAGCUCGGUGGAAGCCACGCUGCUUCUCUGCUGAGAUGGCGGGGUAGCUUCGGGGGAAGCUUCGGCAGGUCAUUUGCUGCGAUCUGCUUCUCGUUCCUCUAGCCCCAUUACCCUUUCGUGCAGCGUCUGCAGUUGGCUCGGCUCCAGUUUCUUCCUCCUCUCCUAGGUUUUGUAACCCCCUGCGUCCGGAAAACCAAUCUUUCAUGGAAUGGAGCCUAGCAUGCCUCGUGUCCGUCCAGGGUGCUCAGGAUUCCCGAGGGCCAUUGUGAGCUAGUCCUUCUCCCUGUCUGGAACGAACGUCCCUUGCUGCGCUGCAUUGAUAUAGUGCCGAAGCCUCUUGACUGGUAUUUUCAGUUGCUCCUCCGUCCAACGACACUUCCCUGAUACAGGGUCCAAGGUUCCGCCAUCCCCAAAGAACCAAGUCCGGCAAUGGUCUGGCCAGUUCAUUGUCUCUGGUUCGAUCCCUUUAUCAAGCAGAUCAUUCUCAGCCUUGGACCACUUAGGCCGGGCUUUGAGGUAGCCACCUGACCCCGUGCGACGGUGAAACUGCUUCUUCGCAGCAUUUUGCUUGUUUGUCGCCGACAUCUUCUUACUCUCUUCCGAUGUCUUGUGGGCCACAAAUGCGGGCCAGUGAUUUUGAUCUUCUCAUAUUUGCCAAUUAAUUCUGGUGUCUCUUCUUUGUCGACAAACUUGUUCAGCUCUUUCCUCCACCUUCUGAAUAGGCUUGCCAUCUUCUUAAGAGCACAAGACAUGAUUAAUUGCUCUUUAACUGGCUUCUCCGGAUCCUUCUCUGGUGGUAGGGUGAAAUUUGCCUUUAGCUGAGUCCAAAGAUCAUCUUUCUGCAUAUCAUUGACAUAAGACACCUCAGGGUCUUCCUCCUUAGGCUUAUACCAUUGCUCAAUGCUGAUCGGGAUCUUGUCCCUAACAAGAACCCCACACUGAGCAGAAAAUGCGUUCUUUGUCCGGAUGGGUUCAAUCGGUUCGCCGUUGGGCGCGAUUUUUAUGAUCUCAAACCUUUCAUCCGAGCUCAACUUUUUCUUCGGGCCUCGUCUCCUUACCGAAGUUGUGCUCGAUCCGGAGGGCUAGAAAAAGGAAGAAAGACGAGAGUUAAUUAAUAUGUGUACAUCAAUUAACUAGUCAGCACGGGCUUAACUAAUAUAUAUAUACCUCCAAUGGCUCCAGCCUGGUCGAUCUUUUGCUGGCGCGCCAUCCACUCCUCGUGAGUGAACAACAGGCUGCUCCCGCCUUGGGCGACCCCUUCCAGCCCGUAGCGUUCCUCCGCCGCUUUCAGCCGGCCGGUGAGCACCUCGAUCGUGAGCUCCGAUAGGUCAAGCAGCGUCUCUAUGAAGAGGGCCUCCUGUGCAUAGCUUGGCGGGAUGACCCAGAGAAAUUUCUCCACGGCCCUUUCUUCCUUUAGAUCAUCACCAAGAAGAGCUAGGUUAUUCAUCAUACCUGUGAGCCGAAGGGCAAACUCGUCGACGGUCUCCCCAUCCUUGAAACUGAGGUCGUCAAACUCGCAGCGGAGGGAUUGAGCCUUCGCCUUGCGCACGCGAUCGACUCUAAGACGGAUCAUCUUGAUGGAGUCCCAUGCCUCCUUCGUUGUGUCCUACACGGCGAGCGUCGCCAGCAUCUCUGGCGGAACGGCCCAGAGGAUUGCCUCCAACGCCAGGCGAUCGUCAUGGUAAUCGGCGUCGUCAUCGACACACGCGCCGAAUUCGUUGACGGUCCAUAGGCCUCUCGCCUGUAGGAUUACCUUCAUCAGGAGCGACCACUCCACUUAGUUCGUGCUCAUCAGGGUGGGGUAGGAGGUGGAUCCAGUCACCUCACGGAGCGACCAUGCCAUCGCUAGCUCACGGCCGGACGGCCUCCCUGAGCCGUCGCCAAGCAGGAGCGUGGGCUUGCCGCCGCCGCUGCUGCCGGUGCCCUUCCCGUCCUUCUUCGCCUCGGCCCCGGGCUUCUCCGGCGAGGCGGAACGGGAGCGAUCUGGGUUGCUCUUUCCCAUGACCAAACGCGGCUCUGAUGCCAAUUGCCAGCACUCCCAGAGUGCCAAAAUGGCGAACACACACGCGAGAGAGUGGAGCUCGAGAUAGAUGAAGAACACAAGUGGUUUUGCGCUGUAAAACUUCACAGCUUUUCUGCUUCUUUCUUGCUUCUAUUUAUUCAGAGUUACAGAGGGAAACUGGGGAUCGUGGCCCCUGACUUCGCGCCCGCGUGAUCCACAACGCUCGUGCCAUCCCACGAACAGAUCGACGAGGCGCGAGACUCCCUCCAGGCUGUUGAACCAGCGAGCUAAACUAGCUAACAGAAAAACUGAAUGGGAAAACUAACCUGACAAAAAACGAACUAACUGAACUUCGACAGGGCUUGGGGUUUUAUUUCAACAUAGACAGGGGAGACGAUUGAUGACCGGCGAGGAGCAGGAGACGCACGAGGACAACGCAGUCAUGGAUAUCGGCAACGGCUUCUAUACUUUUGGCAUGCAAAUUGCGCCCCGCUUCGCUAUGGAACACCGGUCGUGUGAGACGAUCGCUUAAAAACCCUUCCUAUCAAUGCCAACCGUUUUCUCAUUUUUUCCUUAAGAAAACAUUUAUACAUUGUACAGACACAUGAUUUUGUUUUUUUUCAGAAGUAUAUAUAUUGAAAUACUACAGUUCUUGCAAAGCUUGGCCUAGAAAACAUUCAUUCUUGAGCCCUUACAGAAAUAAUAAAUUAAAUGCGCAAAAAGAAAUUCGUAUAGUUGCUCAUUCUAGCUUAUUUUUAAGAAACACAAAUUAAUAAAUUUUCUCAGGAAAAAUUGCAGGCGUGUGGUAAGCUACCACGUGUGCAUGAUAUAAUUUGUUCAUGAUUAUUUACGACUUUAGAAAUAAAAAAGGUUGUCAGUUCACUCGCAAAAAAAUUGUUUCGGUUUUUCUAAACUAAAAGAAGCAAGUGAACCCCGAAGUUGAAAAUCCAAAUCAGUAAAUUCAGAGACAAGUACAUGAACCUGUGCUCCUAGCGCAAGCAACAUUUACGGAAUUCAUGGUGAGCACUAUGUCAACUUGUUCGGCGUAGAUUUAUGUCGUCUCCUUGGACGGCGAGGUUAGAGUUUCUCGUCAUGCAACGAGAUUUUGGUGUCAGGUGCUUCAAAUACACGCGAAGGUUCAACAACAACGACUACGACUCCAUGGCACUGGCCAUUAGGGGUAUGUGUAGGACGAUUUCCUAGCUAGUGUCAACAAGCACUAGUAGAAAAAACCCCAUUCGUGCUGGUUCGUGAGGUCCUUUAGUCCUAAUUCUGGAACCGGGACUAAAGGGUCGUCACUAAAGCCCCCCCCCCCCUUUAGUCCCGGUUCUUAUACGAACCGGGACUAAAGGCCCUCCACGUGGCCGUCGUAUGAAGCUCCACCGAAUUUUUUAUUUCUAUGAUUUUUUUAUGUAAUUUUAUUUUUUGAAUUUUUUAGUUAAAUAUUUUGCCGAUUUUCAAAUUUCUGAAUUCUUUAACCUCUAAUCUCUAAUCACCACUCAUCACUGCUUUCUUAACUUCUAAUCUCUAAUCACCCCUCAUCAUUUCAAAUCUUCUAACUUCCUCGCCGGUCACCCACCCUCUCAUUACUCCAUCCUGAGCACGCUUGAAUUCCGGGUUCUAUUCCCCCUCAUUUCCAAGUCUGCACUUAUUGUUUUCCUGACAAUAGUAAGAUGUUAAUCCUAUUAAUCCUCAGGAGUUUAGCUUGAGCAUGAAGUCACAUGUUUUACUGUUUGAGUUUGAAACUGUUAUUCUAAAAAACAAUAAUUAUUUAGUAACACUAAUAUUUUUUCACUAAUUAGUUUGACCAUAGUUUGACCGUAAUUUGACCACAGUUUGACCAGAUUUGACCAAAAUUCAAAAUACUGAAAAUAAUUAUUUAGUAACACUAAUAUUCUUGUAUAAUUAUUUAGUACCACUAAUACUUCUUUAAUAACUAGUUUGACCAUAGUUUGACUAGAUUUAACCAAAAUUCAAAAAACUGAAAUUUGAGCAUCACUUUUUUUCCUUUUAGAAUUUGAGGAUUCUAAAAAUUUGCAAAGAGGCCUACGACCAUCAAAAUCGGAUGUGGAUUUUCGUUCUGAAUUUUUUGAUAUAUUAUGCAUUUUUUCGACAUCGUAUGCAAAAGAUAUGGCCGUUUUACGUUUUAUAACAUUUUUUCGCAAAACAUGUCCAAAUUUAAGUUUUUUUAAUUUUCCUAACUAAUAGAUGUAGUAACAUAACUACAUCUCAAAGGAUUUUAAUUUUUGAAGUUUUUAUCNNNNNNNNNNNNNNNNNNNNNNNNNNNNNNNNNNNNNNNNNNNNNNNNNNNNNNNNNNNNNNNNNNNNNNNNNNNNNNNNNNNNNNNNNNNNNNNNNNNNNNNNNNNNNNNNNNNNNNNNNNNNNNNNNNNNNNNNNNNNNNNNNNNNNNNNNNNNNNNNNNNNNNNNNNNNNNNNNNNNNNNNNNNNNNNNNNNNNNNNNNNNNNNNNNNNNNNNNNNNNNNNNNNNNUGUGUGUGUGUGUGUCUGUGUGUGUGAGUGUGUGUGUGUGUGUGUGUGUGUGUGUGAAAUGUUAGCUCUAAACACUAAAAAUCUAUUCAAAAUCAAAUAAUUAAUAUUCUACCUUCAAAUUUCUUUUUAGAAUCCUAGAUGGAAAUUUGUUUAUGAAUGUAUCAAUAUCAAGGUCAUUCAUAUGUUUUCCAAAUGCAUAAAGUUAUCAAACCAUUUAACCUCUCUUGGGACAUUUACAAACCUCACAUACUUUUUGCUCAACAUAUAGCUAUUUUAAAGAUGCACAUGCUACUUCCAGUAGGACAUUACUUAUCACGUAAGGCAGCAUACCUCAGCCAUCAUCAUCACAUCGAGUAUCUCCAUAUACAUGUCGUCCUUCAUAAGAAUUUUUGUUCGUUGAUGAAGCAUUAGAACCAUCUUCUAAGCCCUAGAGCUAACACAAACAAUGAGUUAAGUUUAUUAAACUAAAAAGAAAACAGUUUAACAGAAGAUUCCGUACAUUACUUGAUAUCAUCUGCAGAUCCAUAAGCAAUAUUUUCUGUGAAAUUUGAUUCUAGAGAUAUUAGUUCAAAUCUUCUAUAGCAUAGGAACACCCGAAUGCCUUUGAGAUAGAGCUUUUGCAGCAUCACUACAAACCGAUAAAAUUGAUCGCCGAUUUAAUACAAUAGGUAGAUGAGUUCAUAAAGAUUUCGACGAACCUUCAGAAGUUAAUCCUGCUUCAGUAGACAUCAUCCCAUGGUCCUAAUUUUCCUAACCAAACAGUAACAUCAUAGUUCCUAAGUUUGAAUGCCAAAAGAAAAUCCUGCUCCUGGUGACUAUUUUUUCCCAUCUGGAGCAACGAAAGCGAGUAAUCUCAAAAUCCAUACAAAACUCAUAAGAUUCGAUAAAAAAUGUGCAAAAUGAUUCUUAUCAAAGCCUCAUGACGAAAAAACAGGCGUGGUCGUCCUACAUCCCUGUGCGUCAUGGCAUCGACGGCGAUUGCCAUGCCAGGAUUGCAGAGUGAAGUUUGGCGUCGGCGGUGGGCAUCCACGAUGAAGAAAAAAGGGGCCUAGGGCGUCUUUUUAGAUCGACUAGGGCAUUGUCAGCUACCGUUUUUCUGUUUUUUAUUGAAGGGCAAUUGUGCGCUACCUGCAGGUGGGUAUUUCACCACGUGUCCGGCGAGAACCAAUAACUGGGGUUCUGUUCGCUGCUAGGCCCCUUUGAUUGCAAGGAAGUAAAAAUAAUGACGUAAUAAUCACGUGGUCGUCGUUUGCUGCAUCGUGACUGCAUGCAGAUUAUCUGAACCGCGUCCUGAUCGGAGGGGGCCCUGGACUUGGGGGCGCCCCCCCUCAGGGUUGGGCCUAGAUGGUGUGUCUAGCAUCAUCGGAGGGUGUGUGUAGGCGUGUUGCUACUUUUGAGUUGCAUUGUGAUUUUCCCGAAGAGGAGGGGAUGAUGCAGUAUAGUACAGAUAAUUAUUUCCCUUAGUUAUGAAACCAAGGUUAUCAAUCCAGUAUGAGAACCAAGCAACACUAUGUAAACAAUACCUGCACACAAAUAACAAAUAGUUGCAACCCAAUGCGUAGAGGGAUUGUUAAUCCCUCAACGGUAUUGAGAUAGAUUAAAUUGUAUAGGAUUUGAAAAAUAGAUCUAACUAAAAUACAGAAUAAAAUAAAUAAAAGAAAAUUGCUGCAAGGUAUUUUUAGAAGUUUUAUAUGAUAAAAGAUACGCCUGGGGAGCAUAGUUUUCACUAGAGAUUUCUCUUGAGAAAAUAACAUAUGGUAGGUAAACAAAUUAUUAUUGGGCAAUUGACAGUAAAGCAGAUAAUUAUGACGAUAUCCAAGGCGAUGAUCAUGUAUAUAGGCAUCACCUCCAAGAUUAAUAGACCGAAACGAUUCUGCAUCUACUACUAUCACUUCACACAUCGAACGCUAUCCAGCAUGCAUCUACUGUAUUAUGUUCAUGAAAAAAUGGAGUAAUGCAUUAGGCAAGAUGACAUAAUGUAGACAAGAAAAAAAUCACAUAUGAAUAGACCCCAUCUUGUUGCGCUUAAUUGCAACAAUACAUGCGUGCGAUGUCUCUUUCUGCCAGUGAGAUUGAGCACCGCAAGAUCAAACCCAUCACAAAGCACCACUUCCCAUGGCAAGAAAAAUCAAUCUAGUUGGCCAAACCAAACCAAUUUUUCAGAGAAGAAAUACGAGGCUAUAACAAUCAUGCAUAAAAGAAUUCAGAGAAAACUCAAAUAGAUCUCCUACUAGAUCUGAUCAUAAACUCACAAUUCAUCGGAUCUCAAAAACCACACCGCAAAAAGUCAUUACAUCAAAUAGAUCUCCAAAAACAUCAUCGAGAAUAUUGUAUUGAAGAUCAAAAAGAGAGAAGAAGCCAUCUAGCUACUAACUACGACCCGUAGGUCUGUGGUAAACUACUCACGCAUCAUCGGAGGGGCAACAAGGAUGAUGAACAACCCCUCCAUGAUCGUUGCCCCCUCCGGUAUCUCGUGGUUCUGGAACUUGCAGCGGGAAAAAAGUAUUUCUCGACACCCCUAGGGUUUUGGGGAUUUUAGAGUAUUUAUAGAGGCGUAGGUAGGUCAAGACGGUGCCCAUAGGUCCCACUACCCACUAGGGCGCGCUAGAGGCCCCUGGAGCGCCCUGGUGCCUAGUGGGCCCCACGAGUGUCUUCUCGUGGCCUCCAGAAGCUUCAAAGGUCUCUUCUUGCCAGAAAAAAUUCUGCAAAAAGUUUCGUGGCAUUUAGACUUCUUUUGGUAUUGAUAUUCUGCAAAGUAAAAAAACAAGCAAAAAACAGCAACUGGCAGGCAGUAGCACUAAGUUAAUAGGUUAGUACCAAAAAUUGAUAUAAAGUUGCUAGUAAAUGUAUAUGAAACAUCAAAUAUUAAUAGUAUAAUUGCCUGGAACAAUCAAAAAAUAUAGAUACGUUGGAGACGUAUCAUGUGUCUCUGUCAAAUCUCACAGGAUUCGAUCAGCGUUGGUCUUCGAUGAAUCUGUUUGGAUCCGGUCUUUGUUCGUCUUUGUGGUGUUUAUUGGAUUGAUCCUUUCGAUCUACGACUUUCUUCAUCGGUGGUGCUUCCUGCUUUGGUGCGCUGGUCCUAUGGGUCCGCACGACGACCUCCUUCCUGUCUACUACAACAAGUUUUGCCCGCCUCCAGCGAGGGAGGGGUGAUGAUGGCGACGCGUGGAUCGCUCUGGUGCUUGUAGUCACUGCUAGGUGGUCCACAGACCUGGUUGUAAUUUUUCUUAUCUCUGUUGUUCUUUCUACUGCCAUGAUUAAACAUGAAUAGGUUGGAAGUUUCUCACGCAAAAAAAUAACAAUAUAAAUAACUAAUUUAGCAAAAUUCAUAAGAAAACUUUUUGAGCAAGUAAUAAAUUUUGACACCAAUUCUAUGGUAGUAAUUAAUCUUUCCCCUAAUAAUAUCCACAUUGGAUCCAGGUUUUAUACUGUGUAUACAUACAGGAGUAUGUUUAGAUAAUUGUGUGAACAAAUUGAUAUAUCCUAGAAAAACUAUUUUUAGCAACAAGUAAUUAAUGAAUUAAUAUGUGCUAGCUAUACUUUGCUGGUGAAAACAUGUUGUAUUAGUUGUACAAAGCAUGGAACACGGUUUCAAUAGCUUUUAUAUUCCUGGGCAGAACACAAUUUUGGAUCUAAGUUUUAUGUUUGUAUAUACACUCCCAUCUUUUUCCUCCCAUAUCAGCAGGAAAAUUUACUGCCAAGCAUCUCGCCAUUCUACACUUCAGAAACAAGGUUUGCUUUUUAUUGUUCCAUGCUAUCAUAUUAUCUAUGUUGGAUGUUCUAUAUGCAUUAAUAUGAUGUUUUAUAAUGUUUUUGGGACUAAGCUAUUAACCUAGAGCCCAGUGUCAAUUUUUUUCCUUGUUUUUGACUUUUAUUGAAAAGGAAUAUCAAAUGGAGUGCAAACGGAAUGAAACUUUACGAUGAUUUUUCUUGGACCAGAAGACACCCAGAAGAUUUAGAGAGAUGGCCAUAGGAGUCCCGAGGAGGCCACAAGGCCUUGGGGCGCGCCCCAGGGGGCGUCCCUGGCUUGCGGGCCCCUUAGGAGUCCCCUAAACCUAGUUCCUAUUGAGAAACGUAUCAUGCAAUUUCAAAAAAAAUCGUACGCUCACGCAAGAUCUAUCUAGGAGAUGCAUAGCAACGAGAGGGGGAGAGUAUGUCUACGUACCCUUGUAGACCGAAAGCAGAAGCGUUUAACAACGUGGUUGAUGUAGUCGAACUUCUUCUCGUUCCGACCGAUCAAGCACUGAACGUACGGUACCUCCAAGUUCUGCACAUGCUCAACUCGAUGACGUCCCUCAAACUCUUGAUCCAACAAAGUGUCAGGGAAGUAGAUGACUUCCGUCAUCACGACGGUGUGGUGACGGUGAUGGUGAAGUGAUCCGCACAGGGGUUUUCCUAAGCACUAUGAAGAUAUGACCGGAGCCGUAAACUAGGAGGGCGCCACACAGCUAACAAUUGUUGGUGUGUCUUCUAGCGGUGCCCCCCCACAUAUAUAUAUAGGUUGGGGGGAGGAGAGGUAGCCAAGGGAGGGCCCCAAGUAGGAGGAUUCCUACUUGGGGUCCUCCCAAUUCGGCCUCCCUCCUUUCCUAUUCCUAUUCAGAGUAGGAGGGGAAGAGGGGAAAGGGGAAUCCUAUUCCCUUUUUCCUUUCCUCCUUUCCCUUUCCUUCUGCAAUUUGGCCAGCCCAUAUGGGGAGGGGGGUGCACCAGCCCAUUUGUGGCUGUUGUGUUUCCCCUCUUGGCCCAUAAGGCCCAUAUCUUUUUCCGGGGGUGCGCGGAGCCCCUUUCGAUGACCCGAUAAGUACCCGGUGCAUCCCAAAACACUUCUGGUGUUCGAAUACUAUCUUCCUAUAUAUAAAUCUUUACCUCUCAACCAUUUGGAGACUCCUCGUCAUGUCUGUGAUCUCAUCCGGGACUUCGAACAACAAUCAGUCACCAAAUCACAUAACUCAUAUAAUAUAAUAUUGUCAUUGAACGUUAAGCGUGCGGACCCUACGGGUUCAAUAACUAUGUAUACAUGACCGAGACAACUCUCCGGUCAAUAACCAAUAGCGGAAAAUGGAUGCUCAUAUUGGCUCCUACAUAUUCUACGAAGAUCUUUAUCGGUCGAACCGUUAUGACAACAUCGUUAUUCCCUUUGUCUAUCGGUAUGUUACUUGCCCGAGAUUCGAUCGUCGGUAUCUUCAUACCUAGUUCAAUCUCGUUACCACCAAGUAUCUUUACCUAUUCCAUAAUACAUUAUCCUGCAGCUAACUCAUUAGUCACUUUUCUUGCAAGGCUUCUUAUGAUGUGUAUUACCAAGAGGGCCCAGAGAUACCUCUCCGAUACUUGAAGUGACAAAUCCUAAUCUCGUUCUAUGCCAACCCAACAAACACCUUCGGAGAUACCUGUAGAGCAUCUUUAUAAUCACCCAGUUAUGUUGUGACGUUUGAUAACAAACAAGGCAUUCCUCCGGUAUCCGGGAGUUGCAUAAUCUCAUAGUCGAAGGAAUGUGUAUUUGACAUGAAGAAAGCAAUAGCAAUAAAAUUGAACGAUAAAUAUGCUAUGCUAACGGAUGGAAUGAUGUGAUCAUGUUCGUCAAAUGACAACACAUGUCUAUGGUUUGGAAACUUAACCAUCUUUGAUUAAUGAGCUAGUCUAAUAGAGGCUUACUAGGGACACGGUGUUUUGUCUAUGUAUCCGCACAUGUAUCAAGUUUCCGGUUAAUACAAUUCUAGCAUGAAUAAUAAACAUUUAUCAUGAUAUAAGGAAAUAUAAAAUAACAAAUUAUUAUUGCCUCUAGGGCAUAUUUCCUUCAGUUCCACCUUUAAAAAUUAUCUAAUAUUCCCCAAACAUUAGAAGCGUCCACCAAAUUACUUUUCCACAGCCGCAAGCUUCUGUUAUCGCAAGAUCUCAACUUGGGGUAUUUUUCGGCACUCCGCCGGAGGGGGAUUCAAUCACGGCGGGCCUCUAUAUCAACCUUGCUGCCCUUCCGAUGAAGCGUGAGUAGUUUACCACAGACCUAAGGGUCCAUAGCUAGUAGCUAGAUGGCUUCUUCUCAUUCUUUGAUCUUCAAUACAAUGUUCUCCUCGAUGUUCUUGGAGUUCUAUCCGAUGUAAUCUUAUUUUGCGGUGCGUUUGUUGAGAUUCGAUGAAUUGUUAUGAUCAGGUUAUCUAUGAAUAUUAUUUGAGUCUUCUCUGAACUCUUUUAUGCAUGAUUAAAAUAUCUUUGUAUUUCUCUUCAAAUUAUUGGUUUGGUUUGGCCAACUAGAUUGAUUUUUCUUGCAAUGGAAGAGGUGCUUAGUUUUGGGUUCAAUCUUGCGGUGUACUCAUCCAGUGACAGAAGGGGUAGCAAGGCAUGUAUUGCCUUGUUGCCAUCAAGGAUAAAAAGAUGGGUUGUAUGUCAUAUUGCUUGAGUUUAUCCCUCUACAUAUUGUCAUCUUACUUAAAGCGUUACUCCGUUCUUAUGAACUUAAUAAUCUAGAUGCAUGCAGGAGUCGGUCUAUGUAUGGACUAAUAGUAGUAGAUGCAGAAUCGUUUCGGUCUACUUGUCACGGACAUGAUGGCUAUGUUCAUGAUUAUUGACUUAGAUAUCGUCAUAACUAUGUGUUUUUCUAUCAGUUGCUCAACGUUAAUUUGUUUACCCACCGUAUGUUUAAUUUCAAGAGAGAAGGCUCUAGUGAAACCUAUGGCCCCGGGGUCUAUUUUCAGAUCUAUAAAUCAAAAAACCCAAAAAAUACCUUGCUGCAAUUUAUUUAUAUUUUCUUUAGUUUGCCUUUUUAUUUAUCUUUUAUACCUAUCUCUAUUAGAUCUCACUCUUGUUCGUGACCGUGAAGGGGUUGACAACCCCUUUUUCGCGUUGUGUGCAAGUGUUUGUUAGUUUGUGCGGCUGCAUAUAUUGGAGACUUGCUUGUGCCUCCUACUGGAUUGAUACCUUGGUUCUUAACCGAGGAAAAUACUUAUCUCUACUUUGUUGCCUCACCCUUUCCUCUUCAAGGGGAAAAUUAACGCAAGCUCAAAAAGUAGCAGUAGCCGAACCCAGGAUGGCAACCUGGAAGGAGAAUCUGCUAUGGUAUUGCCUGUUGUAGGAGAGAGGACUACAAUGAGAUCUAAUGGUCAUGGUUAUACACGCAGCUUGGAAUUGAUUCACUACUAGAAAAAAGGCUAUAGAUGGGAUUGACACUAAUGGCGCACCAGACAGGCGGUGCGCCAUUAGUACUAAUGGCGCACCACAUUCUGCUACGCCAUUAGUGUUGAAACUACUAAUGGCGCACCAGGCCCAAGGUGCGCCAUUAGUAUCAAAUUUUUUUUGAACUAGUGCGCCUGUCCAAACAUACUAAUGGCGCAUCCAGACGAAGUGCGCCAUUACUAGUUGUAACUAGUAAUGGCGCACCUGUCGGAAAGUGCGCCACUAAUGUUGUUUUUUUAUUAUAUUUUUUAUUCCUUUUUUUGCAAAACUAUUAAUGGCGCACUUCUCCAACGUUCGCCAUUACUAGUUUAAACUAGUAUUGGCGCACUCUGGAGCAGUGCGCCAUUAGUAUGUUUUUUUUUGCAAAAAUACUAAUGGCGCACCACCAGAUGGUGCGCCAUUAGUAACCUGGAUUACUAAUGGCGCAUUUGUGGUUGGUGCGCCAUUAGUAAGUGGGCAGCAACAAGAUAUUUUGGAUAGCCUCUCCUACCCACACUCACUUUCCCCCCACUUCAUUCUCUCCACCGCCUCCUCCUUGUCUCGGGUGCCUCCUCUUUUUCACCUCAUUUUCACCAUAGAUUCAUUCAAAUUAAGUGGUUUAAUUACCUUGUUUUGAUAGGUAAGUAAGGGGGAAGCUAUAUUUAUGUUGUUCUCCCUACAACAAUGUGCACAUGCACUUUUUAUGGCCUAGCUAGAUCUAUGUAUGUUCGUGGUGUUGCAUAUGUUUGUGGUGUUGCAUAUGUGUUUGUGUUUGGAGGUGUACCGGUAUUUGAAAUGCGAUAGUUGCCAAUAUUUUGCCGGCAUGUUGAUUCAUUUCCGUUUCGGCGAGAAUUUUGGCAUUAAGCAUGCUUUUUGGUCCUAUUUUUAGGGAAAGUCAUGCCAAAAUUUUUCUUGGUUCUAAAAUAUCGUUUUGCUCUACCCCGCAGGCGACCAUGGUCCGCACGAUGACCGAAGGCAUCGUGAAUAGGUUUUUGAGGUCCGCGAAGGCCGAGAUGCUUCAAAAGAACGAGACGGAGAUAAGAUGUCCGUGUCGAAGAUGCAAGCUGAAGAGCCUUAUUGCGGACCCGGAUUCCGGGCAGGUGCGGGACCACUUGCUCUUGCGUGGUUUCAUGGAUGGCUAUCGCUGGCAAGGUGAUGAAGAUGACUACGAAGUCGUCCAUAGGGGCCGGGCAAGAAAUAAGGAAGGGCAGCAAGACAACCACCGCGGCUCAGGCGGGCGAGAAGACGAAGAAUCCCCAGGAGAUGAUCACGACGGUGAUGCUGUACACAGUCAUCAUGUAGAAGAUGCAGGACAUGAUGAUGAGGAAGAUGCCGGAGCAGACGACGGGCAUGAUCAUGAAGAUGAUGAUGCCGGCGGAGCAGACGACGCUGGACCAUCGAUGGGCAGGGUGCAGGACCCUCAUAUUCAAGAGCUGCUUCUCAAGCAGACGGAUAACGUAAGAGCUGCCGCCCGAGAGAAAGCAAAGAUGGAUCAACUUGAAUUAGACGCGGUUACUCCAUUGUAUGAAGGAUGCAGGCCCGAGGAUACCCUACUGAAAGUAACGCUCAUGGCUCUGGAGAUGAAGGUGAAACACAAAAUGACCGACGCAUGCUUCGACGAGAACAUGUCAUUCUGGCACGAACGUCUUCCCAAGGGGAACAAGUGCCCGACCAGUUUGGAGGAGGCGAAGAAAAUCAUGUGUCCUCUCGAUUUACCGCACGUGAAAUACCAUGUGUGCAUGAACAAUUGCAGCAUUUAUCGGGACGAGCACGCGGAGUCUACCAUAUGUCCGGUGUGCGGUGUCACUCGAUACAAAAAGAGGAAGAAAGCUCCUCGAAAAGUGGUGUGGUACUUUCCGAUCACUCCUCGUCUGCAGCGGUAUUUCGCGGACCCUAAGGUAGCAAAGCUCCUGCGUUGGCACGCGGAUAGUGAGGAGAAGAAGCGAGAAGAUGACGCAAAUGAUCCGGAGAUAGAUAAAAAAGACAAGAUGCUGAGUCACCCUAAGGAUGCGAGCCAGUGGCAAGCGUUGAACUUCGAAUACCUAGAAUUUGGGAAUGAUCCAAGGAACAUUGUGCUGGGCGCGAGCACCGAUGGAGUCAAUCCGUUUGGCAGCCAGAGAAGCACACAUAGCACCUGGCCUGUGUUUGUGUGGAUGUACAACCUUUCCCCCUGGUUGUGCAUGAAGAGGAAGUACAUUCACAUGAGUAUGCUAAUUGAAGGGCCGAAACAACCAGGGAACGACACCAAUCUGUAUCUGGGGCUGCUAAAAGAGGAGCUUGACACGCUGUGGAAAACGCCAGCCAAUACGUGGGACGCCGCAGAGAAAGAAUAUUUCCCUAUGAGAGCCGCACUGCUCACGACGGUGCACGACUAUCUCGGUUACGGAUAUCUCGCGGGGCAGGUAGUCCACGGAUUUUCUGGAUGCGUAAGGUGCAUGGAUGACACAACGUAUCGCCAGCUAGAUAGAGAUCCCGGGUCUUUGAAAACCGUGUUCAUGGGACAUCGAAGGUGGCUUCGCGAUGAUGACCCGUGGAGGAAACGCAAGGAUCUGUUCGAUGGUGAAACCGAACCCCGAAAACCCCCGUGUACGAGGAGCGGCGAGGAAAUAGACAAGCUGUUGAAAAAUUGGAAAGACUGCCCAUUGCCGGGAAAGAAGCAAAAGGCGCCAGAGCCGGGAAAGAAGCGAAAGGCGCCAGAGCCGCUGCUGAAGGUAUGGAAAACGAGGUCUGUUUUCUGGGACUUGCCGUACUGGAAGAUCCACCGUGUGCCUCACAGCCUUGAUGUCAUGCAUAUCACGAAGAACGUGUGCGAGAGUCUGCUUGGUACCCUGCUCAACAUGCCACAGAGGACCAAAGAUGGGCCGAAAGCAAGGGCAGACUUGAAAUCAAUGGGCAUCAGGCAGGAGCUUCACGCUAAUGAUGAUGAUGAUGAUGAUGAUGAUGAUGAUGGGGCGAAGCAGGACACAGAAAGUCGUCGCAAAGGCAAAAAGGCCAAGAAGACCGGAAAUGACUACCCUCCCGCAUGCUUCACUCUAAGUCAGGAGGAGAUCGAGCAGUUUUUCACUUGCCUCCUAGGAGUAAAACUUCCUUACGGUUACGCGGGGAAGAUAAGCAGAUACCUAGACCCAGCAAAGCAGAAGUUCAGCGGAAUGAAGUCUCACGACUGUCACGUGCUGAUGACGCAGAUACUUCCAGUUGCAAUCCGUGGGAUCAUGGACGCGCACAUCCAUGAAACGCUAUUUGUCCUAUGCAACUUUUUCGACGUCAUCUCUCGGAAGUCGAUUUGCGUGAGGCAACUUAGAAGGCUACAGGAAGAGAUCGUGGUGAUACUAUACGAGCUUGAGAUGUACUUCCCGCCCGCAUUCUUCGACGUUAUGGUGCAUCUGCUGGUCCAUAUCGUGGAGGAUAUCAUCCAACUCGGGCCGACGUUCCUGCACAGCAUGAUGACGUUCGAAAGGAUGAAUGGUGUCAUCAAAGGAUACGAUCGGAACAUGUCACGUUCAAAGGGAAAUAUAGCCAGGGGCUUUCUGACCGAAGAGUGCAUCUCCUACUACACGAAUUAUCUAGGCAUCGAGAACCCCGUUGGUCUGCCCGUCAACAGGCACCUCAGCAGGCUCGCUGGAUGGGGUCACCGUGAGGGUCGCCGCGAAAUGCAUGUCGAUUUCGAGGGUCGACUCGCCGACUUUGAAAGAGCAAACCUAGUCGCGCUACAACACAUAGACGUGGUCGAUCCUUGGGUGGUAGAGCACAAAACCUUUAUUGAGAAGACAUACAAUGAUCGAGGCCAACAGAGGACGAACGGAGAUAUACUCAAAGAGCACAACUCAUGUUUCACGCGUUGGUUCAAGCAGAAGCUUAUGUCGUACCCUUUACAUGAGGAUUCUUCUGCGGAAGAACAACUCAUAUUCGCCUUGUCACAGGGCGCCGAGCACAACCUGAUGACCUAUGAGGCGUACGAUAUCAAUGGCUACACAUUCUACACCGAGGACAAGGACAUGAAGAGCGAUGGUUAUCAGAACUCCGGGGUAACGAUGGAAUCCUACACCGGUAAGGACAAGGACAGAUACUACGGAAGGAUCGAGGAGAUCUGGGAGCUGAGCUACGCUGGAGAGAAGGUGCCGAUGUUUCGUGUCAGAUGGGCCAAGAGCGUCCUAAAAGAAGACCGAUAUUUCACCAUCAUGGUUAUACCCGAAGCCAAAUCCAAGACCGCGGGCGCAAACGUCACCGCGAAAAAUGAGCCAUGGGUACUGGCUUCCCAAGUGGACCAAUGCUUCUUCAUUACCGACCCGCCAAAGCCCAGUCGUGUUGUCGUGAGGAGAGGCAAAAGGAAGAUCAUCGGAAUAGAUGGAGUAGCCAAUGAGCAAGACUUCGACAAGUACGGCGACCCGAGGAUCGAACAUGACGACGAUGAUGAAGUAGCAGCAUACACCACAAGAAGAAGUAGGACCACCCUACCUAAAGGACGUCCGUUCCACAGAAGAACUCCAUUUGCGAAAAAGAAGGGCAAGAAGAAUGUGAACAGAUAGCUAGCUAAGAUCGAUUGUAUUUAAAUCGUAGCCUUCAUUUCUCGAUUGUAUUUCAUGGGCACUUUUUGAACUAUCAUGAAUAUUUUUAAAUUUCAUGGACACUCGAUCUCGAUCCCCCUCCAUCUCGAUCGGUAUCCCACCUUGCCAGAUCCGGUCCUCCUCGCCGCCGAGCACCCCCCGAUCCACCGGCCGCCGCCGCCGACCCCCCGCACCCUCGAUUCCCCUACUCAACCGCCGCCGCUAACCCCCCGCACCCCUCCCCUACUCAACUGCCGCCGCCGACCCCCCGCACCCCGCGCACCCUCCCCCGCUCCACCGGCACUACUGUUUGAUGAUAUUUUUAAAAAAAAUAUUACUGUCUUAUAAAAAAUAUUACUGUUAUGAUUUAAACAAGUUUAAACAUAUUUAAACACAAAUAAGUAUCAAACAACAUUUUAAAUGCAUAAAAAAAUUGUGGAGCCUGGGAAUCAAACCCAGGAACUCCUGGUGUGAGAACUGGCUGCUGACCAGUCGAGCUAGUAAAGGGAACUUGGUGUGGAUCAGGUCAGGUGGGAGAUAACCUGUUGGCUCGAGCAGAAAUAAAAAAAAUACUAAUGGCGCACCAGGGUGAGGUGCGCCAUUAGUAUGGAUGUACUUAUGGCGCACCGAGGGGUGGUGCGCCAUUAGUAUUGUGCCCCCAUCCAUAUUUCCUCCCCGGCCCUCGAUCCCCUUCUCGCCCUCGCCCUCGAUCCCCUUCCCCUCUCCUCCCUCGCCGCCGCUGCCCCGCCGCCUCGACGCCGCCCCGACGCCGCGAAGCCACCCCGUCGUCCUCGUCUCCGCCCCGACGCCCCGACGCCGCGACGCCGCCCUCUCCUCCCCCGACGCCGCCGCCCCGCCGCUUUCCCCGCGGAGAAGGAGGAGGAAGAGGGGGCGCUCGCCGUUGACCUCGCCCGGCCGACUCCGGUGGCCCGGCCGACUCGCCNNNNNNNNNNNNNNNNNNNNNNNNNNNNNNNNNNNNNNNNNNNNNNNNNNNNNNNNNNNNNNNNNNNNNNNNNNNNNNNNNNNNNNNNNNNNNNNNNNNNNNNNNNNNNNNNNNNNNNNNNNNNNNNNNNNNNNNNNNNNNNNNNNNNNNNNNNNNNNNNNNNNNNNNNNNNNNNNNNNNNNNNNNNNNNNNNNNNNNNNNNNNNNNNNNNNNNNNNNNNNNNNNNNNNNNNNNNNNNNNNNNNNNNNNNNNNNNNNNNNNNNNNNNNNNNNNNNNNNNNNNNNNNNNNNNNNNNNNNNNNNNNNNNNNNNNNNNNNNNNNNNNNNNNNNNNNNNNNNNNNNNNNNNNNNNNNNNNNNNNNNNNNNNNNNNNNNNNNNNNNNNNNNCCCCUCUCCCCCUCUCCCCCUCACUCUACUUACUGUCAGUUGACACUGUAUACCUGCCAAUUGUCCAGGGCUGAAUCCUAACAAUGUGUAUUGAUCAUCUUACUCUGCUUACUGUCAGUUAACAGUAUAUGUUGUCAUUUAUGCCAAGCCGUAGUUCUUUUAGGCGUAUCAAGUCUCCUAAACUUUGAGGAAUGUGGCCGGAAAGGUGAUUAUUCUGUAGGUAUAAGGCAGUGAUUGUUGUCAGAUUCUCCAAAUUGCUCGGAAUAUAGCCAAAGAGUUCAUUAGAAUGAAGUUUUAACGACUUCAGCUUGACCAAGUCCCCAAUUUGAUUAGGUAUAUUUCCUGAGAAGAAAUUUUCUGAAAGUUCCAGUGUGGCAAGCUUUGUAAAAUUAUUGAUGUUUGUUGGAAUGCAACCUACAAAACGGUUUUGACUAAGAUCUAGGUAGUCUAGGCUGACUAAGUUUCCAAACUCUUUGGUGAUGGGACCAGUUAAAUUAUUUCCGGGGAGUGCUAAAAACUUUAUGUUAUUGUGCACGGAUAGAUUACCUAGACUGAUGGGAAUUUGACCAUCGAGGAUGUUGUUGGAAAGAUCCAAACCAAUCAAGUUGCUUAGUCGUCCUAUUCCACCAGGGAUAGGACCCACCAAGUGAUUGCUCGACAGGUUGAGGACCACUAGACUCUCUAAUUCACCUAUCACAUCUGGUAUUUGAUUGGUAAGGAGAUUGUGGCUUAGCACCAAACAAGACAGUUUGGUUAGGUUUGCAAGGACGGGUGGAAUCGAGCCCCUUAUCUGGUUGCCGUGGAGAUGCAGAACAUGGAGCUCUUUGAGGAGCUGAAUAUCCAGAGGAAGCCUCCCAGCAAGCUCGUUGUGUGGGAGCUCAAGCCUUGUCAGUGUCACCACGGCAGAGAAGUUGAGGAGCUCAAGCGUCCCGCCCAGCAUCAUCCCCCGCAGAGACAUUAAUUUGAGAGCCUAAAAUCAGAGAGCCCAAACCUCCAUUAAUUUGAACCAAGGUGACAUAUCAAGCAAAGUUAUUUAUGAAAAAUGAUGAUGAUAUACAAAAAAAUUGGAAGUUCCCAUACUGUUCUGCAAGUAGAUUACUCUGUGUUUUGAACGAUGUUAGGUAGAAAGUGUACUUACAGUGUCCAACCAAACCUCGUGAAACUAUUACAAGUCCAUCUUCUAAUUUUAUUAUCUAGUUCAUCUCUCCGAAACUGAUGUUUUCAGUCUCAUAUAUACAAUGUAGUAACCCGUGAACUUGCCGAAUGUCGGUGUUCCUUAUAAUCUCCAUUUGCAAAACGUCAUAUAUUUGAGGUUCCUAUAAUCUGUUCGGAAAACAUGAUAACAUAAUACUAGCUCUAGCCAGUAGCUACCAAUUUGUUUCUUAUGUUGCGCGAUUGACUUGCUUCCACAUUUGUAUUCUUGCUAGGGACUGUUUAAAAUGCUGGGAUCAGUUUUGGAGACUGACCGACAAUUUAGUACUGCUGGUGCAUUUCCUUUUAGUCUUAGAUCAUAAACUACUCUUUGCGAACAUAAAUAGAUGAUCUCAAAUCACCAUAGUACUGUGGAAAUGGUUUAAUGUUACUUCUGGCGUUCUUACUUCAGCAUCUGUAUGCCCAUGCAAUGAUUUGCUUUGUUGUGAUGGAGGCUUUUUUUGCCUUGUCCACCCGAGAGGCCCUUGAGUUUGCUGGAAUGUCGAUUAAUUUCCGUUCCAGCAAAUUCGGGUACUCCAUAUGUCCUAUUUUCAGCAAAGGUCAUGCUGAAAUUUUUCGUAAAUUUUAGCAUGACUUUGCUAAAAAUAGGACAUAUGGGGUACUUGUGACUAAUGAUGAAAGCUUAGGCUUUUAGGGUGCCUCGACGUCGAAAAACCCUCAAUGAUAAAAGCUUAGCUUUUAGGAUGCCUCGGUGUUGACAAACCCUAAAUGAUGAGACCAUGAUCUUGUUCCUUGGCAAUAACCAACUUUUUGACCAAACUUUGUUCCUAUUUAGAGAGAAACAUGGCCAACAACAAUCAGGCCGGUGGUUCGGGUGGCAAGGCAUUCUGGGAGCUAUCCCAGGAGAUGGAGAAACAACCUCACUUGUCUGAGGACGCCGCAUUCCCCACCGAUCCUAAGACCACUGAUGGUACCGCCGAGGAUGACCCCACUGAUGCCACCACUGAUGGUGCCGCCGAGGAUGCCACCACUGAUGAUGGCGGCGCACGCACAGAUGGAAGCCAACAGAAGAGGCAAUGGAAGGACCGGCGCCCAACCGUGCUCCGCACCCUCAAGGAGGAAGUUACUGAAGUGGACUCCGACGGGAAUCCAACGGCGCCCGAACGAAUAGUCAAGGGGUACUCCCUUCAGCUCGGGUGCAUUCUCCGGAGCAUCGUCUCGAUCAACACCGAGAACCUGAGGCAUCCUGACCGAGGGAAUUUGCGCAACCUCCUCUUCACGAAGCUGCACGAACGAUACAAGUUCCCUGCUGUUUUUGAAAACACAAGCCUCAAAGGGAAUAAAGUGAACAAUGCUGCCCUCACGAAGAUGAGCAAGGCCCUGUCUACUUGGAAAAGCAAUGUGAAAAAAAUGAUCGAGAAAGGUGAGAGUUAUGAGAAGAUCAAGGAGAAAAAUCCUUCGAUCGCCGAAGAUGACUACAACGACUUCAAGAUCAAUUGCUCGAGCACCGCAAACUCCCAAUCAAGUCAGUGGGGGAAAGAAAUGCGGGAGCUGAACUUAGGGGAACACAAACUCGGUCCCGGCGGUUACAGAGUGGCGGAGCCUAUAUGCGACAAGGAGGACGCGGAGCGUGCCGAGCAAGGCCUAUCGCCGCUUCGAGAAAUACAGCGGUAACAAGCAGACCAGGAACUUUGUCAGGGCCCAGUACAAGGAGGAGCCGAUAAUAAAGGAGCUUACCACAGAUCCGCAGACCAGGGCGCUUGAGCUUGUUCUGGUAAGGAAUACACCCCCGCGUAAUUAGCUCCAUAUGGUUGCAUUCUAAUUAAUGAAGCCAAAUUUCUAAAUGGUUCACAUUCCUUCCGCGGGCGACUGAAAGCAGUAGCGCGGGGUCGACUACGAGCAACCCUUGGGACACCACUCUAGAUAAGGCGUUGAAUGUAAUGAAGAACAAGGAUAAACUCAGUAAGCCGACAUCAGCUGGUCGUGUGGCCGGCAAAGGCUUGUCCACAAAAUGGGGGUCAUACUAUACCGCUGGUGUGCGGAAGGAGAAAAAGACCAGCUCGGAAAGCCAGGCGCGCGAGGUUCAAGAACUCAAGGCACAGGUGGCGCGGAUUCCGGAGAUUGUCCAAAAGCAAGUGGAACAACGACUCGGAGCAUCGAUCACCGCCAUUGUGCCUACCUUGAUCCAGGGGUUGAGUGCGUGGAUUGCGGGCGGCCAACAGGGGCCGCCCCCGAUUCCUAGCUUCACGGCCAGCAACUCGCAGAAUGCGAUGGCGGGGCCAUUGGUGUCUCCGGCGGAGGCGGCAUUGGUGUCUCCGAUGCCGGCACGGGAGCUUAAUGCACCCGGGUGUACGCCGGCCGGCACCUCUGCAGCAAGCGGCCCCUCCGUCAACUGCACGCCCGCCGUUGGCGGUGCCACGACAUAGCCGAGCUCGACGCCAUCAUCACGGUAACUAAUUAAGCCUCUCUCGGCCGAGGACUUCAUCUCCUUGCCUUUGACUGGGCAUCCCUGACGCCCUACAUGUUUUCGCAGGGCGCCGCCGACGUUCCGUGCACUCUCCUGCACUUCAUGAACAACGAGUUGGUCGAUGUCGCCAAGGGACAAAUCGUUCAACCGGGCAACCCCUUGUUCCACGGUACCCAGAUGCCACCCAACUUGUUUAGGGUUCAACUGGUUCAGGUGCUGCUAGGCUACCACGAGUUGUUACCUCCGAUUCGAUCCGUCGGGGCCGACGAUGAUGACGUGAUGACCCUCAGCGCCUGCCUGAGCUGGCCCCUGCUUUGGCCGAAGAUCCAGAUUCGUUUGGGGGCGGGGGACACCACCCCAAAGACAACACCGCCAGUCGUGCCGGCGCCAAGUCGGCCCCAUGGCAAGACCGCCGCAACGAUGCCGGACAUCCCUAUGCCACUGGAUCCAAACAUGCAUAUGGCACAGGAUCAGAACGACUACGAUGACGAUACAUUUGGCAACGUCGAUCAGUACUUUGCCGAACAUGGGUACGAUGGCGACUUCAUGGGGGCUCCUUCUCAAGAACCCAACCCAACAAAAGACGUGCGCGAUCUAGCUGGUACCGCCGAGAAGCCAAGUUGCAACAGGCGUCGUCUGCCGUUCAGCUCUCAGGAGACGCCUCCAGCUGCCGACUUCACCGAGCCUCAGAUAGGCGAGGUGCGAAAUAUUAUCAGCCCAAACACACUCAAGAAGGCGGUCUGUGAGCAGAACUCGGUCCCAUUACAGGAGAAGAAGAAGGCACACAAAAGAAAGACUAACAAGGGUGCGAGCCAGCCGGCACCGAGGACGAUCCGUGCUCAGGACGGGCCACCUUCACCUGAGGAUAUCUCGAGGAGGGUGCAUGUGGCGGGUAGGACGAUGCUACCGACAAAUAUGCUCAAUGCUGCAAUCGGUGCUAUGCGGAGUCUGCAUGACAGUGUUCUUUCUUUGGAGAAGCGGCGUCUCAGAGAGAAGGAUGUGGCAUUACCCGGUUUUCGCGGCCAAGGUGCCAGAGGGCAAGGGAUUUGUGGAUAACUCCAUCGGGCGUACGAUCGUCCUGCGGUUUGAUGACAUCCACGCUAUGAUGAACCUUCAUCCGCUGCACUACACCUUCGUUCGGCUAUUUUCGCUGAGUAUGGAGAUGCGGAUCAUUCGCGACAAGACCCCGGACAUCGUGAUAGUCGACCCCUUCUACAUGCGUGCCAAGAUCUUGGGCAGCACUGGGGACCGGCAUGUCGCGAGUUCUUACCUCGAAGGCGUCAUUCUGGCAAACCAAGAUAAGGAUAACUUCCUCGUGCCUUACUUUCCCGAGUAAGUCCUCCCCUCAACCGGCCCGUAACAUAUGAAUUCUUAGAUUUCGAUUGUUUUUCUUUUAACAUUCCAUGUUUUCUGCAGUGACACACAUUGCCUCCUAAGCCCCAAAUAUUCCAUGGCCACGUAUUUCGACCCGGACUGUCAGUCAAACGUAGACUACACAAAUGUCAAGAAGGUUCUUGAUGGUGUUCUCCCCGGCUACGCCAAAUCUGGAGGCACCUUCACCAGGCCUAUUCGUAAGUACGGCAAGCACGUGUUCUCCCACAAUACGAUAUUCUGCUGCGUCAAGCAGCCGCCUGGCGGUCAGAAGGGUGCCUACUACGCCAUCCAUCACAUGCCGGCGAUCGUACGGGACCAUCAUCAACUUCUGCUACCGAGUAAACUCAAAGAUUGGGCAAAGAGCGUGUCGGCAAUCCAGGACGCGGACCUCCGACAAGAAUUCUUUCGCAUCCAGUCGGAGUUUGCGGAAAUCAUCCAUCAAGAUGUCCUUCGUACCUCGGGGCAGUUCUACCUCAGAAAUCAACCGUCCAACAGUGACAUCAACACAAUGCUACAAAUGCAGGCUGACAACGCCCGUUCUUUCAUGACUCCCACGAUAGACGGCGGCUUCAUCCACGCUCCGGUCCCUUGAGUCGACUCGAAAGCAGUGAUGCUGUGUCUAGUUCUGAAACAUCGAUUGGCUCAUGUUGUAAUUAAACUUUAAUGAACUUGUAGUAUGUCUCUUUGGUUUCGAGAGUCGUUCAACUUAGAUGUAAUCGAUGCUAUUAAUGUCUUGCUUUUUCCUUUCGAUCGUUCUGUUGUAUACUUAUAUAUUGCUUAUGUAUUGUCUGUGAAUUGGUACUAAGGUUUCGUUUGGCUAGUGCAUAGCGAUGCCGACGUAUGUCGUGUACAAGGGUAAGGUUCCCGGAGUCUACGACGACUGGGAGGAGUGUCGGAGACAGGUUCACCGAUUCAGCGGUAACAGUUACAAAGGGUACACCACUAGGGCCGAGGCCAAAUCUAGAUACGCCCGCUAUCUAGCGGGAGAGGGGAGGGAGCGUUGGAGGAACCGGAUGAAGACGAGUUUCAUCGUGAUGAUGCUCAUCGUGAUGACCGCAGCUCUCUUCUAUGUGAUGGUAGUUUAGAUGAUCGAUAUCGACUUGUAAUGUGAAGACAAACUCGCUACUCGCGGUCUCGAGACUUGUAAUAUAAUGUUCUAUCUUUGUUCGGUCUUUUCAAUUCGGAGACUAAUAUGAUGAAUUGUAUUCAGAGACUAAUCUUCUAUUGUAUUCGAUGAAUCUGUUGUUGAUGUGUGCUGUCUAUAUUUUGUCCAAUUAUACAUUUUGUAACCUGUGCAAAAAACAGAAAAUAAAAAAAAUAAAAAAACCUAAUAUUCAUACUAAUGGCGCAUCACACCACAGUGCGCCAUUAAUAUGCCAAAGGAUACUAAUGACGCAUCAUUAGACAGUGCGCCAUUAGUAUGCCGAAGUUACUAAUAGCGCAUCUUGCCGUUGUGCGCCAUUGGUAUGCCAAAGUACCUGAGUAUACAUGGCCCCCUGGAAGGCAUACUAAUGGCGCACUGUUGUAUAUACUAAUGGCACAUCCAGUGAUGCGCCAUUAGUAUACCAGAUACUAAUGGCGCACCAGUGGUGCGCCAUUAGUAAAAUAUACUAAUGGCGUGGCACUAAUGGCGCACCACUGAUGCGCCAUUAAUGGCCAAAUUAGGUGCGCCAUUAGUAGGCCUUUUCCUAGUAGUGAUUCUGCCUCUCGUACUUAGAGGCCUGCUGCCAGGUCAAAUUUUGUUCGAGUGGCACCGCGCCGAGACUGCAUACAGAUUUAUCCUGGGUGGCUGGAGUAAAUUGAUUCAGGCAAAAGGAUGUGGACAGCUUUCAAAUAAUUUUGAGCAGAUGGGAAGCAUGAAGAGGUUAGUAUAUACUCAUGUUCUGGUCUGCUCUAUCAUCAGAUAAUUUUCAUUCUGUGUUAAUUAUGAGUUAUCAUAAGGAGUGUUUGCUUGAUGAGCAUUCAUACCAAAUGAUGAACUAAUUAGAUCCUAGGUUCUCCAAAAGAUAACAUUGUUUGCUUCAGUUACCUGAUAGAUUUUCAGCCUUUGCGUCAAAAUGAUUUAUGCAUUUGUUUUCACACUACCUUGCAUUUUCUUUAAUCAUAACCAUGCAUACAUGUAAAAAAACUCAUGGCCACUUGUGCGGUUGAUAGAAAUCAGUUAACAUCACAAUUUCCCCAUGUGAUAUUGUAUGGCUGUGGAGGUUUUUUUUAACAUGCUCCCUCUUACCUCCCAUUUUCACAUGAGAUGUAAGAGUAUAAAAUAAAUCUAACCUUUUCACAUGAAAUGUAAGAGUAUAAAAUAAAUCUAAGUCGUUGAUUUCAUUAGGUAGUGAACUUGAAUAAAUAUUACCUUCUUAACUCCCAUGUGAAAAUAUGGGGUAAGAGGGAGCAUGUUAAAAUUGCUCAAGAAUGCGGGCACAGCCACAGGAGCGCUGCCUAUUCUAUUAAUGGAACGAAUCCAUUAGAUUUCUCUUACAGAAAUUCAUGACUGCCAUUGUUGUUGCUGAAACUAGGUGGUGCUGCCACUAGUGGCGAAGUUUGAGCAUAAUCCAAGACCAUUACCUGAUGGGGAGCGAAUUAGUAGCAAAGGAGGGGCUAAUCCCUAGUUUAAACGCUUGUUAGGCUUAAAAAAUUGUAUAUUCUUUUAUGGAUGCAAAAAUUAAGGGGGGGCAUGGCCUCCGUUGGUCUACAUGAAGCUCUGCCACUGGUUGCCACACAUUCUACAGUGUUGUUACAGCCAUUGACAGAAUCUUGUUUUUGCACAAUAUCCAAAUGGUCUAGCAGUGACAAGACACCAAUUUGUCAGGAUCUCGACUUUUGGCCUUCUGCUAGGAUGCACUAAUGAAACUGAUAGGUCUCGCCAUUCCUGGAUGUUGUGAACGUUACUGGACUAGAAUAGACUACCGUGUAGUGCGCGGCGGCACGCCGCGCCACAACGAUUGGUAAGCUAUUUGGUUUUUUUAUAAUUUUUGGUAAGGUCCCAAGACUUGAUUCGUUGCAAGGGAAGGAUACAUCUGGAAAAUGCAUAAAUGAUCAGACUUGAUUCAUUGCAAGGAAAGGAUACAUCUAGUUGGUACAUGCAUAAGCGAUCUACAGUAGGCUCUUGUUCUCUUCUUAGACCCGAGAUGUUGAUACUCUAGCUUUGUUUGUCUCUGUGAUGUAGUGGUAGAGAAUGCAUAAGUGAUCUACAUUAGGUGGUGACAAUAGCUACUGGAUACAUAAUUGCAAAACUCUUGUUCUCUUCUUAGACCCGAGAUGUUGAUACUCCAGCUAAUUGGUUCGUCUCUGUGAUGUAGUGGUAGAGUCGUAGAGAGAUGAAGCUAGUUCUUCUGCUCGUAUAUUUAUUGGUGGUUUGUUUCCCGUGUAGAACAUGUUCAACUUGUUGCGGGAUGAAUCUCUUGGCCCUCGACGGAUUGGGAAAAUAUCUUGAAAUAGAGGACAAAACACCUAAUUCUCUUCUAUGUUCUUCCUCCAUUUUUGUGCAGCGGAGCAUUUCUUGUACAUUGUCUUUAGAGCAUUGUAGUUGUGGUCGUCGAUGACUAUGUUCUGAAGAAAGCUAGUGCAUCAAGGGUAAACUAAUCAGUUACCAAUUUGUCCGAAUCAGUCUUGAGUCAAGAGCCCUUGCAGAACACAGUUCGCCGCACGCCGCACUAAUCCUGGCAAGAGGCAUCCAACAAUAGUAGCAACAACAUCAGUACACGGAAUCAACAAGAUGUCACACAAAGCAAACACCAAAUACCGGAACAGGUAAACGUAGCAAUAUAAUUACCUCUUAAGAGUGCAUGACCACGUGAUCCCCUGUAAAAAUUUGAAAAAGAAACAAUUACAUACAAAAGCACCAGGAAGGAAAUGCCUAUAGCUACACAAGGGAGUAACUUUCAACCUGAUUCCCCUCACAACUAUUGGAUCCUAACCAAAUUUAUUAGAAGAAAAAGGGAGAGAAUCACUUAUACUAUCCAUAUUUCAGAUAACAAUAGAAUGACUUCUGAAAAUCCUGGUAAACAAGAACAUUGAUGCAAUGUAGCUUCCAUAGGUAUAUGGCCCUUUUUUUUGAAGAAUUUUUGAAUGGAGCAAUAUGUACAAAUGAUGAACAAUAAUAUUGUGAUAUAUAUGUCAUAAGUUAUCAUACAUCCAUAGAUUCAUUGGUAGAUGCAAGGCUAAAUUGAAAUUAAACAGAAUGAUCUACAGUUUUUGGUGCAUGAAAAGAAUCUCCACCUUAUACCAUAUAAAUGUUUACUCACACCAAGCUGGCUCUAGCUUAACAGUCUUUGUAUUUUUACAGAAAGGUUGGAACCUAAAACCUCUGUCAUGGCCAUGAAGGGCAUCUGCACACAAUCAGAUAUGCGAACUGAACCAACAAAGAAAACAAAUAGAUAAAUAAUCCAUAUAGGAUGACACAUUUUUCCCAAGCAAACGUCGAUCGCUAGCAGCAUUAUGACCUCCAAAGAAAACAAAUAGAUAAAUAAUCCUGGAUAUUCUCACUAUGAGCCUGUAGAAGCUAGUAAAAAGACGAAUCAAUGAAUAUCAACUGAGUUAAAUAAAAAAUGCAAUAAUUAUCCGUAUGUGUGCCAUAGCUGACAAGGUAUUUCUAUUCACUUCCUCACCUUAAAGCCGUCGACUCCGAGUAGGAACAAUCUGAUCCCAAGGAUACAGAGCCACUCCAGCUUUGCAUCCAGGACAGCAACGCUGCGCCUGGGAUUUACAAACAUAGGUAUGCCUGGGAUUUACACACCUUCCAUUGGCCAAAUUUUUCUUGAAGUAGAAGUUACUCAUCGAAGAGAAAUGAAUGGAAACUUGUACAUGGGAUUCUGCACUUUUAAAUAAUUAAGGAUGACGUAUAAUGUCUCUAUGCUUGCCACUUCUUUUGAUGUAAGAUGGGGAACUAAUACUGGUGGACAUCAUAAAGAUUAAAUAUACCCUUCUCAAGCUAUAGAUCAUGGGUUAAUUCUACAAUAAGUAUUAGGAAAAUAGAUCGGGUUUAGACCGACUAUGUCGAAUGGGACCAAUAUUUCCAGCAAUUAAAUGCAAUGACGAUUCAGAUAUAUACCCAUGGCAAGUAAGGAACAUACACACGCCGUGAAGAACGUCUACUUUACAAAUGUUUGUACACAACAAUAGCUUGUUACAUUAGCCAAAUAAUAGAGAACACAGCAGAACUGAUAUAAGAAUCGUAUACUAUCAUAACAUGUGGUCGUUCUUAUGGAAUUUAAGAUAUAAGCCGACCAUAUCAUCAUAUGCCAUAUGCAGAAUCACAGAAAAAGAGAAAUAACACUACCUUGCAAACCUGAUUAGACGCCCAUAGGCAACAAUAAUUGAUAUUGAUAACUCAACCUUCAAAUGAGCAUGUGUAAUGACCUAGAGGAUGGAAGAAUGCAUCAAAAUACGAAGCUACAGUAAAGAGACCACAAAAUAACACAAAAGGAACGAAACAACCAUGCUUUGUAAAUUAUUUGUACUUGGUGAGAACAUAGCUAAUACAAACUACGCAAUCCAGAGCAGCAUUAGCAACUGCAGAAAGUAAAAACAGCAACAAUCUAUUAGUAGCAGUAGCAGUAUCUCUAUUACUUUGUUCUAUAUAAGCAACAACAAUCUCUUUGCAGCAGCAGGAGCAUUAUCUCUAAGCAGCAGCACUGUCCCUUUCUUCUUCACCCAAGCAGCAGCACACAAAUCAGAACAAAGAUAACAUACAACUCAGAGCAGCAGAUAAUUAGUAGAAAUCCCUAUCCUAGCCGUUGACUCUAAUCUCUGAACUCUCUCAAUUUCUCCCAUAGCACAAAACAGUAGCGGUACACACGCAGCAAACAACACCAUAACCAGAUGCAAUGGAGUUAUGGAGAGGAAAGAAGAAACAUAUCUGACUGAUCAGGCGGCGACCGCCCAUGCAUCCACCAUCCCGGCCGUGAAACUGAAACUGAGUAAAUCACAAAAAAUCAGAACAAUUCCAAUCCAUCGCAGCGAAUCAAAUCCACAAUAAAUCACUGGAAAACAUAAAGGCGAGGAGUGGAUGGGGUGGCUGCAACUUCGAGUUGGUUCCUUACUGUCGAUCCCAACCAGAGACAUAGGAGAGUGCGUCGUGCAGCCGCUUAGGUUUUCUGCUGCCGUAGUAGUGGAAAAGGAGGAGAAAAUAUGGGAUGCGCAUGAAAGAGAGAAAAGCGACGAAGGCGAUUUACCUCUUCCCCGAGCUUCCUCCCCAUCGUCCCUCUCCUACCCCUGUUCGUCCGCUAUCCAGUUGACGCCGGCCUUGUUGCCGGAUCAUGUUGAUGUCGGCCUUGUCUUCCUUUGCCGGAUGGCCAGUCGCCCAGUCUCCUCCCUCCUAACCGUGCACAAAAUCUGAGAUGUCGCGAGGAGGUUUGGAUUCUGAUCUGCGUGGUGAAGAGAGGUGCGGACGGGGUGGAAGGAAGUGCAGCGGCUGUGUGCGCUACCACCUCGGCCUGGUCGAGGGAAAACGGAGGGCCUGGCAGUAGGGGCUGACCGGCGACGAGGUUGGGGUGAAUGGGGUGCGCGCCCGUGCAGAGACGGUGGAGAGGGGGCGGCGGCGGCAGCGUAGUGCUGGGUUGGGAAAGAAAAUGGUCGUUCUUGCGGGGGGUGUUUCAUCUUUUUAUAUACAGUAUAUGGUAAAAAGAGCGGUGGGGCGGUUGCUAGUUUUGUUUCACUGAUGACGCGUGGACAGUUCAGAUUGCACGUGUCCAUCUCGGUUGUACGCGAACAAUCCAGUAAAAUUGAAGAAGACCGCAACCUUCACACGUAAGUCAUAUGGUGCAGGUCCCUAGUAACAAGUGUAAUUUUCUAGAGGCCGUUAAAAAAAUUCCAAAAAAUCAGGUAAAUGAAUCCCUUACGGGCCUAGUAUUCUUUCUGGAGAAGGAUAUGACAGCGUGACAAACCUAAACCACGAUGAUGCAACGAAUGGAAUGUUGUCAAAAAUGGCAUUCUCUCCGCGGGUGCACACAAGAGAGCAUAGAAAUAGGAUCUGCAUGGACGACCAAAACACAUGGCAUCUUUUUGAGAAACUAACCCAUCCUUUUUUCUUUGAUCUACUAAAAUUGGUUUCAAGUUAUUGUAGAAGUUUUUUGUAUUGACUGGUUAAAAUAAUUCACACCUGUUCAUCUAUUCAUGCUAUGUUUUACAAUUUAAUCCCGUAAUAUAGAUGAUGAAUAUCCAUUUUCCCUAAAAUACUGCAUGUACCUUUAAUUCUUUGGCAUUCAACUAUACAAUUGAAUCUAUACUAUUAUUAAAAGAGCAAACAUAAACUCUCCUAAACUCACACAAUAAACUGUACACAAAACAAACAGAACCCUCCGAUUAAAUCAACUUAAGCAUAUCGUACUGCCCACAUUACAUCAAUAGUUUGUGAUCCAAAUCAACGAUUCAGAUCAAAUGUUCUGCCUGGCAGACGUCGUGGUCUGCCAAUCCUUUUACCACUCCACGUCCCCAAAUCCACGCAGCCCCGCCUGCAAUACACGGAUCCGGAUCCAUUCCACCCUCCUCUGUGGUUCCCGAGCUCCCAUCCCGCCUCUCUCUCUCCUCCUCGCUACAGGACGCCACCGGAGGACGGCCUGCAUCGGCGGCACCGGGGUCGCUCUCCUCCCUCGAGCAGUAUCGGUGGCGCAGGAGGUAGCAGGCUCGGACUGCAUCGCCAGCGCCAGUGUCCCUCUCCUGCGUUGAGCGGCGGCAACAGCGCGGGCUGCAGCACACUCGACCUGCGUCGUCAGCGGGCGGCGGCGCGGGACGCAUCGGGCUCGACCUGCGUCGGCGACGGCAGGGUCCAUCUCCUCCCUCAGACAUCAACAGGCUCGCGCUCCACGAUUUAUUCAACUCCGUGCGGCGAUUCAUCAACUUCCGCACCAGAGGCGCCGCCGCGGAGCACUCCGCCGGGAUUCUUGGCGGGAUUGGCGUCCGGAUCAUCUCUUGCCUCCGCAAGGGGGAUGGGGUUGCUCGGGCUCAUUUCCAAGAGCCCUUCGCCGCCGCGUUGCCCGCUGCCGCUCACGCCCAUGCCUGUCAACGGGAGCGGACGAGUAGGAGAGAUCUCGCCGAUCCGAUGGCGGAAUGGCGAGAUGAUCGACUCAGGUACGUUCGGGAAGGACUACGCCAGGAUAAAUUUGGACACCAGCGAGGUCCUCGCAGUAAAACAGGUACUGGGAUUUAGGGAUUUGGUUUUCUGGUUUGUACUGUGUGAAGACUUGGAGUCAUUCAUUACACUAAAUCUCUCCUUUGUUUGAUUUUGGUUCCAGUUUUGAUCGGGAGUCAGGGUGGACACGGUCCGGGCCAGUCCGAUCCCGGUCCGAGCUGCCGUUUGGACCGGACGCCGGCGGUCCGGGCCGGACCGGACCGAGCUGUGCAGCGGUCCUGAUUACAGGGACAGGACCGACUGGCAUGAAGCUCGGUGCGGAGCGGCGGCCCUGGCGGUCCUGGCGACGUCCAGUCACUGCCAUGUGGGCCCAGGACAUCGGAGUGGUGGUCGGGGUAGCAGCACGGUGGCCGGAGCCGGAGAAGAAGCACCUGAUGCACGCCGGUGCGAGAGAAAGGCACGGGAGAGAGAGGGAGCAGCAUGGCGCGAGGCAGAGGCAUGGUGGCGCGAGGGGACGACGGCGAGAGGAAGAGGCGCGGCGGCGCGAGGUUGUGCCGGGGAGAGGAAGUCGAGGAAGAUGGCGGCGCAGGGGAGGAAGAGGGGCGGCGCGUGCGAGGAAGAGGAGGCAGUGGCAGUUCGCUAGGUCACGCACGCCCCUCUUAUUAGCUUUAUUGGGCUGGGCUCUUCUGAUUAGCUUUAUUGGGCUGGGCCUUCGGUCCUCCGAGCCGGACCAAGCUUUAACCGGACCGGACCGACCGAAUUUCGGUCUCGUUUUCACGGACCGGACCGGCCAUAUUAUCUAGCGAGCCAGGCCCGUAUGGUCCGGUCCAUAACGGGCCGCGGUCCGGGCCAGAAGCCCGCUCGUCCCGUCCACCCUGAAUCGGGAGCACCAACGCGACCUAGGAGAAAGCCCAAGUGUGUAGCACUUCCUAGCCGACUUGGUUACCAAUUUAGUUCUUCAGAUUUUUCUUCAUGUGAGGUGAUUUGUGGCUUUUGUUUUUACUGUUAGGCGCAUAUAAGAGAACUCGAGGAAGAAGUGAAGCUCCUCAAGAACCUUUCUCACCACAAUAUUGCAGUGAAUAGAUAAAUUUCGAUUACAUAUCAGAUUCUUUAUUUAAUUUGCAGCCUGUACUUGCUUAAUCCAUUUUCUGUUGUUUCAGAAGAGGUACCUUUGGGACUGUCCGUGACGAAGACACACUGAAUAUUUUGCUAGAUUUUGUUCCCCGCCCACUGCAUGCUGCCGUCCGGCUCUCACCACUCCGACCUGAAUGCCUCUGUCGAGAACUCCUCUGCUACCUCCUCCCAAUCUCCGCCACAAGAUUCUCCCGUCCAGAUAGUGUACAGUCUGUCUCAAGAUUCUAUUAGCAUGUCUACAAUUAGCUUGUUUAAUUCCAUACACGCUUUGCUCCCUGUGCGUACACAAUAGGAUUGUAUAUCAUAGAUGGAUUGAACAACAUACAUGUAUGUAGAAUUAUUAGCAUGUGACAAGACAUUUAGAAUUUGAUUGCCUGUUUUGUGCACUAUGUUGGAAUAUGUUCAUUACAGAUCCUGCGCAAGGAGUAAAGAAAUUAGUUCUUAAAGCUUCUCCGUCAUGCCGGAAGGACAACUGUAGCCGGCAUCGUCGCCGUCGCUUAUGGAGCUCCACACCAUUGCCCAGUUGUACGAGAGCAUGUUCAAUCUUCUCCAUUCAAGACUAUGCAACUGGUGAACUCUGCCAAACAAGAAUAUAUGAUAAUUAGGCAUAUAUGCCCCGUAAGGUAGCUAUAUAGUAAUUCAUUUGUUGUAGUGGGGAUUACGGUCACACUCUGUUUUGGAUUGUAGAUAGCUAGGUCAAUAAAAAUGGAUAUUCUGAAUAUAUUCUGAUUUUUAGUAAGGGCUUCAUCUAUAAGGUAUGGAGUAAUUCUGAUUUGGUGCAGAUUAAUUCUUCACAUGCUGGAAUGUGGAGAGACGGUGGGCUCUAAGGCCAUAUCGAUGUUGUUGCGCUUGCAGCUUGAGAUGUACUUGGUCCAAACGGUCAUCAUUGUUUUGAAGGGUGAGUAGACGAUGCUCAGAUAUAAACCUGCACUGAUUUUCAUAAUCUUGGCAUCCGAUAGAUCUCUACUGAAUUUCAAUUAAAUUUUGUUUCAAAAAAAUUAAAAAUUGCAUCAUAAAGGAGAUGUUAACCAGUGAUUUGACAUGAUAAGAUGUUAGUGAAGUAUGGCUAACUAUGACAUUAGCAAAACUUUUAUUUGCAUAUAUUCAUAUAUACUUUGCAUUUUAGAAACGUGCACCAUAAUGGAGCUCCACACCAUUGCACAGUUGUACGAGACCAUGUUCAAUCUUCUCCAUUCAAGACUAUGCAACUGGUGAACUCUGCCAAACAAGAAUAUAUGAUAAUUAGGCAUAUAUGCCCCGUAAGGUAGCUAUAUAGUAAUUCAUUUGUUGUAGUGGGGAUUACGGUCACACUCUGUUUUGGAUUGUAGAUAGCUAGGUCAAUAAAAAUGGAUAUUCUGAAUAUAUUCUGAUUUUUAGUAAGGGCUUCAUCUAUAAGGUAUGGAGUAAUUCUGAUUUGGUGCAGAUUAAUUCUUCACAUGCUGGAAUGUGGAGAGACGGUGGGCUCUAAGGCCAUGUCGAUGUUGUUGCGCUUGCAGCUUGAGAUGUACUUGGUCCAAACGGUCAUCAUUGUUUUGAAGGGUGAGUAGACGAUGCUCAGAUAUAAACCUGCACUGAUUUUCAUAAUCUUGGCAUCCGAUAGAUCUCUACUGAAUUUCAAUUAAAUUUUGUUUCAAAAAAAUUAAAAAUUGCAUCAUAAAGGAGAUGUUAACCAGUGAUUUGACAUGAUAAGAUGUUAGUGAAGUAUGGCUAACUAUGACAUUAGCAAAACUUUUAUUUGCAUAUAUUCAUAUAUACUUUGCAUUUUAGAAACGUGCACCAUAAUGGAGCUCCACACCAUUGCACAGUUGUACGAGACCAUGUUCAAUCUUCUCCAUUCAAGACUAUGCAACUGGUGAACUCUGCCAAACAAGAAUAUAUGAUAAUUAGGCAUAUAUGCCCCGUAAGGUAGCUAUAUAGUAAUUCAUUUGUUGUAGUGGGGAUUACGGUCACACUCUGUUUUGGAUUGUAGAUAGCUAGGUCAAUAAAAAUGGAUAUUCUGAAUAUAUUCUGAUUUUUAGUAAGGGCUUCAUCUAUAAGGUAUGGAGUAAUUCUGAUUUGGUGCAGAUUAAUUCUUCACAUGCUGGAAUGUGGAGAGACGGUGGGCUCUAAGGCCAUGUCGAUGUUGUUGCGCUUGCAGCUUGAGAUGUACUUGGUCCAAACGGUCAUCAUUGUUUUGAAGGGUGAGUAGACGAUGCUCAGAUAUAAACCUGCACUGAUUUUCAUAAUCUUGGCAUCCGAUAGAUCUCUACUGAAUUUCAAUUAAAUUUUGUUUCAAAAAAAUUAAAAAUUGCAUCAUAAAGGAGAUGUUAACCAGUGAUUUGACAUGAUAAGAUGUUAGUGAAGUAUGGCUAACUAUGACAUUAGCAAAACUUUUAUUUGCAUAUAUUCAUAUAUACUUUGAAUUUUAGAAACGUGCACCAUAAUGGAGCUCCACACCAUUGCACAGUUGUACGAGACCAUGUUCAAUCUUCUCCAUUCAAGACUAAAUGGUGAACUCUCCCAAACAAGACGGUAUGACGAUUAGGCUUAUAUGCCCCGUAAGGUAGCUAUAUAGUAAUUCACUUGUUGUAGUGUGGAUUAGGGUCGCCCUCUGUUUUGGAUUUUAGAUAGCUAGUUCAACAAAAAAGGUUAUUCUGAAUAUUUUCUGAUUUUUUAGUAAGGGCUUCAUCUUUAAGGUAUGGAGUAGUUCUGAUUUGGUGCAGAUUAAUUCUUCACAUGCAGGAAUGUGGAGAGACGGUGGGCUCAAAGGCCAUGUCAAUGUUGUUGCGCUUGCAGCUUGAGAUGUGCUUGAUCCUUCAGACCUUCACUGCUAUUUUUCCUAAGCAACUUCGCAUGGAAUUAGGAUCACCUGAUAAGAUUCUGAUAUGUUUUUCAAAUUUCCUUCCUUUACGCAUGAAUCUAUCAUCAAGAUCAUUUAUAUGGUACCUGUAUGCUGCUGUAGAUUUGUUGGUGUUGAUUUGCUGUAAGAGGAAAUGUGAUAUUGUUCUCAUCAUUUUCUUUCAUAGCAUGUGCAAUGCGUUACAACAUCAGUUUCAUUGGUUUCGAAAAGGUGAUAAACAUGUGACU
rnacentral:lncRNA from 1 species